rnacentral:lncRNA from 1 species
UCAUCAUCAUCCCCGCACCCCAUCAACUGCUACGUACGGAUGAACUAAUUAACACACGCAUGCAUGCAAAUAUACGAUGCUUAAUUAAUUAACACCGAUCGAUCCCCAUUAAAACCAAACCACAUCGAUCAGACGUCGAAGGUGUUCUUGCCGGUGAACUUGACCUCAAUCGGGCUAACAUUCUUCCCGAUGCUCCUGAAAUUCUGCCCGACGCCCUGCCUGCCGGCGUUCACCUUCUCCGGGUACACCCCGUCCUUGGGGUGGAGGUACUGCACCUCGCCGCUGGGGAAGACGCGGUAGAACUGGUAGGCGAUCUUGUACUUGGAGCGGAGCCGGUUGCCGAGCGCCAGGCACUGCUCCUUGCGCGCCAGCUUGAGGAGGUUGGGCCCCUCACGCAUGAUGGCGGCGCCGCCCGUCGGCAUCUCGAACACCUGCUCCUUGGGCGACGUCCACGUGAUGACGUAGAAUUCCUCGACCUGGGCUUUGCGGAGGAGCCCGCCCGUGCUGCCGCCGAAGAUUGGGGAUGGGGUUGAGGGGUCGAGCUGGGGCGGGACGAAGCCGGCGGGGGCUGGGGUGGCGACGGGAGCCGCCGGGGUUUCUGGGGCGGCGGCGUGGAGGGCGGUUGGGGCGCGGGAGGUGGGGGAAGGGAAGGCGAGGGAGCGGGGUUUGGGGGAGGAGGAAGGGGACCGGGUGGCGGCGAGGAGGUGGCGGGUGGCGGCGGAGGCUUGCGUGGCCAUGGCCAUGGCGGGAGCUAGCUUAGCGAGAGCAAGGAGCGCGCGUGUGGGGGAUGGAUAUGGAUCGGAGUUGAUGGAGGGAAGAAGAAGAAGGGGUGGCUGAGCUUUGGCUAAAGAGGGGAUUGGGGGUGGAGAAGCGGAUAAGGGGAUAUGAGGCCGGCCAAUGGGGAGCCCGGGUUUUGAUACGGCCGGAGCGGGAGGCUUGGCGUGGCGACCACAGAAAACACAAUACAAAUCGCAGCGUGUCAACGUGCACUGGGGUCGCCGGUCGCGGUUUUCCGUGGAUUUUCCUUCCACUCUGUAUGUAUCCGACGACGUUCUAGAUCUUUUCCGUAAAGAGUUGCUUUAGUCGAUUUAAGGUGAGAGCAUUGGAAGCACUACAUGUAACGUGAAACACUGGCGUAACGUAAGUUGUAUUGCUCCAUAACCAGCUGCGACAUUCAUGUAGUGCUUACAUUGUAGUAGAAGGUAAGUACAAGUACAAGGGCUGCCGAGUGUACAGGUGUGCCGUUGAUUCAGGCCGGGAAUUGGGGACGUUGUCACGUUGACUUGGCCCAAACAAAGGAGAGUAGACUACUCUAAUUUGGUCUUCCCUGGAAACCUGGAGAGCCUGUCUCCUAGUGGUACAGGCUUAUGUUGCAGGCCGGGCUACAGGUGCGUAUUACGUAUUGGCUGGGCCGGCCUUUUCUGGGCCGGACAAGAUCGGUAGAAACAAUUUUUCCGAGGCAGGUAAACUGGCUCUAACGAAAUUUGCUGAAUUUGUUUUAUGAAUUUGGUGUAAAAAAAUACACAUGAAAGUAUGAUUAAAUUUAUCAGCGAAAUAAUUCAAUAAGAAAAAACAUGGGUACAUGAAACGGGAUUAUCAGAAACAUUCACGUUGUACCCCCUCCGUCCUAAAUAAGAAGUCCUAGGUUUAUAGAAAAGUCUAGAACUAUAAAUUACUUUUAUGAAAUCUUUCAUCGUAUGGCACCAUCUUUAUCUCGCCUUCAGCAUCGAUAUUCAGAGCCUUGAUUCCACCUGAUCAUCAUUGGGUCAGCUUGUUUCUGUUCGUACGAUGUCUCACAUACCAACCGAUUCUACACUCUGUACAUCAUCGAUGACCAUAAGGAUUUGCGCUAAUCCGCUCCUCCCGUUGUCCAUCGUCCGUCCGUGUGAGUCAUCUUGUAGCUCGCUCGUGUCAUCCUGCGUGCAUGUUCUCUUUCAGAAUGGUGAGAGGGCAUGCCUGCUCAAAUAUGGGACAGCAUGUCAACAAGCUCCCAUUCACUCUCUGCCACAUAUCCAGAUGAUGCUUGAAAUGCUUGAAAACUAAUGCAUGACGGGAGUUGGCAGGAGACAAGGGUGAUGACCUAAGGGGCCACGAAAAAGAAAAGAGGAAGAGAAAAUACAAGGACAUUUUGGUCUAAAUUCCUACCGUGUUUCUGUAAGUUUCAAGAAGUUGAUGUCGAAUUUAUCCGAAAUUGGUUUUUCUCAGCAGCUUCUAUUAAUACAGAAAAAUUGUCCUUGCAAUGGCAUUUAGCCAAUUAAUUAUAAGGAAAUAGUUUCUUGAAUCUUCAAAAUAAUCGUAUGAAAGAAAACCAUGCGGUUGCAAAUAUGGAUCCUUUCAACACCCACGUUUUCUUCAACAAAACAAGUCUUAGAAAAUAUAGCCGCUGCACCCACGACCCAACCUAGGGCGCCAAAGCCAAACUGUAGACCAGAAAAACCCUGGACCAUCCACGCCGUCCAUCUCCGAUCCUACGUCCACGGGCUUCCCCACGGCGAAGAGCAGCGGCCUCGAUAUAGGAGGGAGUCGCUGCUUCGUCGGCCCUUCUCGCCAAAGGAAACGCAGCCCAGGAAGCAACAGCCUCAUCUCCCCCCCUCCCAAGAACUCCCCUCUCUGCUCCAAGCUCCGGCCCCCAAUCUCCUGCAGAUUUCUCCCCCGCGAAUCGCCGGCGGAGCAGCGGAUCUGCGAGCAUUCUCUCGCCCCCUUCGGUCUCCUGGCGGCGCACGGGCGACCAUGGCCUAGGGUUUUGCUCUCGCCCUCUCUCGCUGAACUGCUGGGAACCCGGCGCCGCUGGGCUAGACCGUGCCGGCGGCUGAGCUAGGGCGUGUUCGGGGCAGGUCGGGCGUGGCGGCGGCUGGUCGGGGAAGCAAGUCGGGCCUGGCGGCGCGCUGACCUGGGAUAGGAGGAGGGCCACGAGUGUUUGCGGCGGCAAGACCGGCAACCGGCAGCAGGACCUCCUCUGCUUCAGUUUCGGCUUCUGGUGGUUCGUUGCUCCGAAUCCUGAGGUAUAAACCCUAACUCACUGUUGAUUCGUGGAGAAGUUGUGGAUCCGGUUGGUGGCCAGUAGAUCCGCUUGGUUUCGCCCUUCCUCGGUUUGAUUAUGUUGGUAGAUGAGUUGAAAUCCCUCCGUUAGCACUGUUACUUCUGGAGAAGAGGGACGUUUUUUUUUUGCCUUGCACCGGCAGUUUGUAGUGGGAGUAUGUGCUUCUGACUUCCAUUUUUUGUUGUAAAAUAGUAGUACUCCGUAUUUGUUUGGUUAAUUGUUCAUAUUUAUUGCAAAAACUUCUCCACAAACUAUUGAUGUGUUGCGUUUUGUUGUUGUUGCUAAACACUCAAACUGGCCAUCACCGGCUUAACCAAACAUUCAAAGUGACUCAUCCAAGUCCAUCAAAUCUUGGUCGCCUGCCCACCCGUCUGCCCAUCUUCAACCAAACUUAGUUUCAGUUUAUACUUUGUACCCCAACUAUGCUUUUACUACCAGCUAGAGGAGAUUUAACAGUCACUCGAAGAUGUCGAAUCUACCCGUAGAGAACUAUUUUAUAUAUUUUUUAAAUUCAUUCUGGUCUGCAGUUUAGGAUUUAGCUGCUGACGGAUUUGCUCUUUCAGGAUAACGAUGGAUCAGGAUAAGGAAUCAAGACCCUCAAGGUCACCCAGUGAGCCAAACUUAUUCCUGCAAUGGGGCAGCCGGAAGCGGCUUCGCUGUGUCAAGACACGCGAAGAUGGCUCGCCAUCACCAGCUCGGUCUGAUGUGCUUAGACGUACCAUACCCCGAGUAAAUCGGCCCCUUCUGGGUGGUGAUGUUGCACAAUUUCGUUCACCACGGCGCCCAAGCACUCUUCAUAGCAGGUAAUUCCCAUACGCAUAUGCCCCUUUUGUGUAGCAGUGGAAAAUGUCAAGAAAUGCCUUAGUAGGGUGUCUCAACAUGAUGUUUGUCAGCAGGAAAUCUGAGGCACAGGCGAGUGAGAACAGGCAGUCCAUGUCGCUCUCGCCAGAGAAAGACCGGUAUUACUCCACUAGGGGUUCCCCAUUUCAUUUUGAGGGGAAUGGUUUUGAUUUCAAUGGUGGAGUGGAAGAGAAGGGCACCACAGCUCUGCCAAGGUUCUUCAUCUCACUGUCCAACAAGGAGAAAGAGGAGGACUUCAUGGUAAUGAAGGGCUGCAAGCUUCCACAGAGGCCGAAGAAGAGGCCAAAGUUGAUGCAGAAGUCCUUGCUUGUAAUGCUUUCUUCCACAAAUUUAACUGCAAAGUUUUGCUCUUUUCAAAGCUGUGAAUUGUGUUCAUGCUCAUUUCUAACACUCUUGUUUUUCACCGUUGUGCAUGUCCAUAGAUGGUAUGCCCAGGAGCAUGGCUGUCAGACUUGUCACAUGAGAGGUAUGAAGUUAGAGAGAAGAAGAGUUCCAAAAAGGUAAACCUAGACUGCAAUCAUUUCUGUUUGGUUGCAAGUAACCUAACUGUUCUCUUAGUUCAAAUUUAAGUUCAUCUGUGUACAGUUGUUAACACGUGCAAAAUCAUUCAGCAGAGGGCUAGAGGACUGAAGGCUCUGUGCAUGGAGAGUGAUUCAGAGUAGAGAUUGAGGAGGGGGUCAAUUUUUUUUGACUUGUGCUGGAGGCAGAAAGACAGCGGUACUUAAGUAGCAAUGGUGGCUCUUUAACUAGACAAACCUCAGCAGCUAAUUUAGCAGGGGGGAUCAGUGCCUGCGCCCCUCCCUUAUUCACCCAUGUUGUAUGUCCAUUAUCCCACCCCCUUUUUUUUGUCGAGACUCGAAAGAAAUUGUCACCUGGAACUAUUGCACAAUGACCAAAUCAGUAAUCUUAGAUUCUGCCUGAUCUAGUGAUCCUGCUCUAGUUUCGAAAAACGACCUAGGUUUGUGGGUUGGUUAUGACUGAUAUUGCUGUGGUCACUUGGAUGGAGGUUUUGUGGGCACCUGGUUGUUCAUGCAUGAUCUUUCCACCUCUGUAGCCGGUGGUUGGUCGGUAUACUGCUUAGACUACCCUUGUCUUGGGCUUUCAGAGUGGUUCGAUGCCUCGGUAGUUUUUGUUUGGUGGCUCCGUUGGUUGGUGCUUAUCUGGGACAUAACCAAUGGAUGCCAUCACCUCCAUUUCGCAAGUUUAACCUACCUCGUGAGGAAGAAGGAAAGAACUCUUCAUUCUUUUAACAGCAAAGAAGGAAAAGACUCUUUGUCGAGCCUUUUUGCAGGCCUGUGGAAAAAACUCUUGAAAUCUGAAAUCUGCGGGGUUCCUAGACUCCCGACCUGUGCUAGAGCCCAUGGACCUGUUCCUAAAGACCGCCGACGCUUCCGGCCUCGAAGAUAAUGCCAGCCCAGUAGAUGAGAACAUCUCGGUUCUCGACGAGGACGGGCUCAGCAGCUAGUCAGUCAGUCAACCCAUGUCCAAUGACUCCACUAUCCAGUUUCUUCGCUCAAAAAAAAAGAAAAAUCCAGUGUUUUCCUUCUUUUUUUCGGACGGAGGCAGCCCUAAAUCGCCCGAUGAUCAUGGACAUGCCGCCCGUACGUACUCUGGAGUAUGGUAAGUACACGCACUGUACAAUCGGUAAGGACAUACGGAUCGAACCGGUCGCCACGGACCGUGAGACAGCUCGUCAACGGCUCAGCGCUGCUGCUCUUGCAAGAAACAAUACGGCAGAGGAAGCAAUGCAAGCUUGACUGGCCCGGCCCCGGACCCUGGGAUCCGUCCAUGGCUGAACCUGGCAUGACAUGGAUGAUGGAUCUUUGCUUGCUCCCCAGCCAGAUAGCCAGGCCAAAUCUUCCAUCUUCAAUGGCACCGAUAUGAUCAAUGGAUAUACGAAGCACAUACAUAUCUUCUUUUUAAUAUUCUGGAGUACCGACUGUACAUCCUUUUCCACCUUCAUGUUAAACAAAACUAUACCUGACACAUUCAAACUGCCCAUGAAGGAAUAAUCAAAGAGGACAGAUGUCUUGAUGCUCUGAUGGCUGUCCAGUACCCAGUACCAGCACAGUUAUCAGUUGUUUGUUGGCAUUGAGCAUUUACCAUUUGUCGGUUCAUGGCACACAGGCUGCUGAACUAACGGGCAAAGUUUAAAAGCACGCAAGGCUUCCACAGCACCACAACACGACCAGUUCAAGGUUCACCGGUAAUUAUACUGAAUCUCUCCCGGACGCAUUGCUCCUUUCGAUGCGCCAUAGUGGCAUCCAAAGGAGAGAAAGUCGUCAAGAGAAAUAAUAAAAGCAAGGCACUAAGGCCCCCUUUGGUUAAGCCCAAGAGAGAGCAUACUCCAUGACCAGAAACAAGAGCCAAGUGAAUCAACCAUAUAGGUGAAAGGAGGAAGAGGGUGGUAGGCCACAGCCACAGGCGCACCAACAACAUGCCCAUGCUUCUCUUCAGAAGACUGGCACAGAAAGAGGGAGGGGAAAAAAAGCUCGAGAGAAAAACUAGGAAAGCAACACUGGGACCCCAUUCACAUGACACACGCUAAUCUAGGGCUAAGAAAAACUUGUGCAGAUGGUGUAUUACACUUGAAUGGAUCACUCAGUCAGGGUGUCUUCUGGUCACUGGCAGCUUGCGCUCCUGCCGGGGCCUCCAUAGUAGAAGUAUGAUCCCCAGUCGCCAUUGUUGCCGUUCUGCACGUCGUAGCAGUUCGACUGCUCGGUGAAUGUGCCCACCCCCUUGGGGGCCUUGAGGUUGUUGGUGUUGUCCACCACUUGUAUGUUUUUGAAGUAGCUCGACUUGCUGAACCCUUCCUCUGGGAAGUGCCCGCUACCCAUCUGUGUCGACGUGUGCACGCCGCCGGGCUGCGAGUUCACCACCUCCCCGCCCCACUCGAUCAUCGACGCACUGUCCGCGAGGUAGGAGAAGAGGAAGGACGGCCAGUAGCCGAGGACGUACUCCUUGCCAAACUGCAUCCACCAGUGCCCCUCUUUCGGGUCCUGCUCAACAUAACAUAAGCCUCAGAAAUCGUUUAGAUGACAUGCGGCAUUACAGUACCAGGCGUGUCAAUGCUACGCAAUCAUUAGCACCGACAUACCACAAACUAGACUUUGAGUAAAGGGGAACAAGGGUAGCCAGUUUAGCACCGAGAUGCCGACAUUCAUGUUGCACUAAGCACUUAAGCAGGCCUAUGUAUGCACUCAUCACCCGUGCUCAAUAGAAAUGAAAAACCACUUGACUUUCUAUCUCAAACUCUUGCUUGUUGAGGUAAAAAGGUAGCAAUGCUUCAUGAGACUUCUUUUGACAAACACAAGCUAGAGUAAUCAUCAAGGCUAAAAAAGGUUGUUGACAAAAGAUGUAUUAUAACCACAGGGUUAUGUGGGGGUACUAAAAUAAUUCCCCAGAGUUCAGUCAAGGUUUCAAGGAGCAAGAGUAAAGAAGAGCACAGGAGCAAGUUGGCAGAGACUCUCUGGCCUGCAUGUUUGUGUCAAAUUUCUCUGACCGUAAAAUAGGGCCUGGCAUGUGUCAUGUGUAGUGACUUGUAUCUACAUAGUCCUAGAUUACCUUCCAGAUGAGUAUGCUGAUGUCAUAUUGGGAUCCGGAGUAGCCUGAGAUGGGGAAGAUGCUGGCUCCCAUGGCGACCUCACUGUUGAUCUGAACGAACCCUGCACAUAGUAUGUUGUAGCACCCUGUUGCCUGGUACGCGUCGCUCUACACAAUGCAAAAGAAUUGCAUUUAGUGAACAUCAACACGUCAUAAACAAGCACAUCCCACCAAAUUGCAGGGGUUGAUUUUGCUUACUGUCCAGUAGGUGAACAGCCUUGUGUGGUUGUCCCCGUAGAGGUCCGGACUAACCUGACGAAUCAAAGAAGCAAAAAAGAAGUUCAGAGCUCGUGACACCAACCACAACACAGGAAGAGAGCUAUGCUUCUAUCAACCGCGAAAACGGUGCUGCAUUUACUCUCUACAUGAGCGAUGGAACUGGAGGCAAAGCUCAUGAAGCAGUUGUCUGUGUCUGGUUUACCUGCCAGCCAGCCUCGAUGCUGUUGAGGUCUUCGCCGAAUGUGCCACCCAAGAUCCACAGCUGGGACAGACUGAACUCGUUGGGCUGCUCUAUCUUGGGCUCCCACACGUUGAUCGUCGCCUUGGCGCCAUAGUACUUCUCGCCUUGCACGUACGAUAUCGCGUGCUGAAAACACAAAUUCCACGGCCGGUGAUUAUGGAUUAUACGGCAGGCAGGCUCAAUCAGGAACUCUGAAGAUAGCUAGAUGAGUACAAAUACAAUGUGGGAGGACGUACUUGAUGGCCACCCUCGUUGAGCAUGGAAAGAUCGACAGACAUGGGGUUCGCCACCGUGUGCCGCUUCCUGCCGUACCGCCGGAUCGAGCUCGCCCGGAGCAGGUCGUCCUUCUUGGUCCUCCGGACCGGCACGGUGCCUUCCGGGCACCUGCCCUUCUGGUGCCACAGCUGAACCAUAGGCCUCUCGCCGUCGCCGGAGGAGGCCACAUUGGCCUUGGAUUCGUCGAACAGGCCUUCCGGGUGGUAGUUCGGCCUCAUCUGGAGCAAGCCAAAAUGCUUUAGGAAUAAACCAUAAUCGAAACCAUGGCUUGUACUGACGCAGUUGGAGUCAAAUUUACCUGGAUAGUGUGGUUCUUGAGGAAAGGGUGGUCGAAAGCCGGCUGGUGUGAGAUGUGCACGCAGUCUAUGAUGUCCCCAUCAGGGCUCUGCUCCAUCGAUUCAGAAAACCAAAAUUAGCUGUGUUUGAGCAAGGAUUGGGAGAGAACAGUAUUGCAAAAAGACAGUAGUUUGGCAUCCACUGAAGACUAAGAAUUAGCACAAAAGUUAUGCAAUAAAGAAAUUCGUGCAAGAACAAACACAAAGUGCCACCAGGAGGGGGGAGUGGGGUAUCUUUCCUGUAAAAUUUACACUGGUAUGCUUAAUGUGGCCAAAAGAAAGAUGAGGACUUUUGCACGAAAUGGUAUAAAGACUAAAGAGAAAGAGCGAAUCUCCCCCCAAGAACAAACCACACAAAAAGCCCCGGAGAAAGGCCAUCCUUUUGAAUUAGAUUAGAACUUUAAGAGAUUAGCCAAGAAACUGCAGCUGCCAUCUCGCUCAAAUCCCUCCCAAAUGCAGCUCCUUACAAACGCUAGCUUCGACUGGGAAGGGAAGGAAUCCCCAUCGAGAAAAGCCAUUCAAAUCUUGAGAAGAAGAGCGACAGCAAGAAGACAAUCUCGAAGGGACCUACGCACCUCGAUGCUCUUGACCGCGGGCUUGUUGAGGCGCUUGAGGUGCCGGUGCAUCCUGGCUUCGGGCGACCUCGCCGCGGCGGCGCACGAGAGGCACAUCACUGCCGCCGCGGCCGCCGCCACCAUCAGGCGCGCGACGACACGCACACGCGCGGUGGCCAUGGGCGGCGCUCCGCUCCUCCGCCGCCUCCCCUGCCCCCUCUCGCUCCCGGCUCCGGCUAAAACUCUGAAGACAGAAAAUCCCUUCUCUCUCUACCAAAGACGACCCACGCCGCCGGGGACCGCCGCCGCCGCAAGGCCGGCUCCGAGGGCCUGCCUGCGAAUUUCGAAACAAUGCGGGGGGUGGGGAUGGGAUGGGAUCAGCAGUGGCACGCUCUCUCGCCGCUUCUUGGGCGCCUCGCCGUCUCGGGUUGGGAGGGAUGGGGAGCGGCCGCUAGCGCCUAGUGGUAGUAGUGGGCAGUGUAGGGAGACCCGGCUGUACUAGUUGGUGGCAAGAGAGAGGGCUAGAGGAGCACUCUCGCUCGCACGCUGCAACUUUUGCCGUUUUCCGAGCUUUAACUUCCCUGUAUUCCUGGACCGAAAUGCCCCUUCCUGGUUCGAAAAUUACUUGGGGGCACCCGGAGUACAACAUGGCGGUCUCGGUGAGACUAGGGCUACUCUGAUUCAAAUAAAUAUUCACUCCGUCUCGAAAUAAUUGACUUGAAUUAUUUUGAAUUCUUAUACAAAUUCACGUCAUUUAUUUUAGGACGAAGAAAGUACAUAAGAAUUUUGAAGGAUUUAAAUUCUAAAGACCAUUUUCUUUGCUGGUCGUUUCAUGCACAGUGCUAGAAUCGUUGAGAAUUUUUUUAUGGAUCUUUUGCACUCUAUUUUUGAAGGAAAUCUCCAUUCAAACUUCUAUGUUAGAAUUCAUUUGUUUUUUUGUUCUUAUCCUAAAAGAAGGAAAUUCAUUUGUUUUUUUGUGGUGUGUUAAACAUUCCUUGGAUACUAAUUCUGUACUUUUCAAUCUUAUAGGAUUAUCUUCGAAUGAUUCUUAAGAAAAAUAUGCAACAUUGAUGCUCCCUCCAUUCCAAAAUAUACAUUUCAUAAGUUGACUGUCAGAUUUUCAAAAGUUUAACCAAGCUUAUAGCAAAAAAUAUUCAGUGUCAAACCAAGAUAGUAUGCAAAUAUAUUUCACAAUUGAUAUUAUGAUCUUGAUCCAACACUGCAUGUGUUGGUAUUUUUGUUAUAAGACUGACCAAAUUUAAGACAAUCAACAAAAGUUGUACGUCUUAUUUUUAUAAUGGAGAGAGCAGAUGCUAAGAUUGGCUUAUUCUAAAAGCUAGUCACUCCUUGUAGGAUUAUAAGACUUUGUUCUGAAAAUCUUCUUACAAAGACAAGAAUAAAUAAAUAAAUGAUACAACCUAACACAUGUAUAGUAAGAAAUUUUAAGCUAAGCCAACGUGAUUACUUGUACUGUCUGAUCAUCUUGUGACUUGACAAUAGUUCACUGAGAUGAUACCAAAAAUCAUGAUCAACCAGCACCGGGAGAAAAAUAGCUUUGACAUCCGUACGGCUUACAGGGUUUGGUGGCGCGCAGUCAAAUUAAUCCUUCCCUACCAACACCCGGCGAAACGAACUCGGGGUUAUAAAACCCGAACAUGCUCUUUGUUUCUCGGACGGGUGCCGUCGUCGUCCUCCGUUCACGCCUUGGACGUGCGUUACGUGCAUACAGGCCCGGGCCAACCCAAACGGCUUUAUCCCGUUCUCCCCGGGAGCCCGAAGCGUGCGUGUGCUUGCAUGGCCCCGUUGGUAAUUUCGCUCCAGUCCAGUCCACCGGCUGGCUGUGGGCCAGCAGUCAGCAGUCAGCAGGCCCCACCCACAGUGGGGAAUCGGCCGCGCCACCUACCUCGGGUCCCCGUUUGCGUUUCCCCACGGGUCGCUGGAGAGUGGGGGCCGGAACACGUCGGACCCACAUGGCGUUGGUGGCUUCCGGCGCGUGCGGCCGCGGCCCAUGUCCGGCACAGUGCGUUCGCAUCGGAUCCGGACGCAACGCACCGUCAAAACUGAGACGACCGGGUCUCGGACUCUCGUUGGUGAGGGGAAGAGAAGAGUGAUUAAGUAGCGCUGGUGCUUUCACUUUUACUUGCUUGCACGGGAGCUGCAAGAAAAGAAGAAGACCUACGGACAAAGUACAGGCCAUGGCUAAUUUUAUGCAUGUUUGCAGUAGUACGAGCACCGUCGUACUAAUAAUAAUUCUUUAACGACUAAUCAUGGCAUCUAGGCAUGCAUGCAGGCAAGCACACGGCGGCCGCUGCAAAACUGCGUGGCAUGUUUUCGAACCAAUAGGAUCGUACGAGUUGCCUACCGACUACCAAGAAACUAGUACUAACAAACCCAUACACCUGCAAUUUUAAUCUUGUGGCCGACGCCUGCAAGAAUCGGCGCCAAAUGGUCAAAGUUCGUGCAGAGAACAAAAUGUUGCCCCUACACUGGCAGCACAAAAGCCUCUACGAAUAUUUAACUGCGCUUUGUUCCAGACACUUGUUUGGGAUGUUUCGCACUUUGGUACUAGCACCAGUAUCACUCCCAGACAGUGCAAAUCAGAGGCCAGUCAGCAGCAGCAACGACAAUAAUAAGUAUUCCUCCUGGUAAAACCUGGUACCACUGCUAUACUAAUUAAAACGUAAACAACCCCUGGUAAACCCCUGCGACCGAUAAUUAUAGUGCCUAUGCAUGCACAGCUGCCGGGUUUGGUUUGGUUCGCGCGAUGCUGAAGCAGCAGCUAGCAGCGUCAACACAUCGUCAAAGCAGCCCUGACCAUGCAGUACCGCAGUGCGAGUAGUAAAAUGCUACGAUUGCCCGGAUCUUACAGUCUCGGUAAGAGGGUGAAAAUAACGUGCUAAAUAGAAGGCUACAAAAUUAAUCCAGGAACAGUACGUGUGGUCCUUGCCUGACCGAUGGGCCCACAUGGCAGGAAGAGUAUUGGGUCAGGUCAAGGCCGGAUGUAUCAGGCUCACAAGACCGGUUGUACCCUCAGUGAUGGAAUGGUGCAGGCGUGCAUCACCAGAAGCGGUGAAAAAGUUUUCACUCUAUCGCUGGGCUGCAUUUAAGGUUCUUCAUUUUCUUUUUCACUCUUCUGAGGUAAUGUCUUGAUAUUUGAUAAGCUGAACACUCUAUCUAGCUAGUAUGACCACUUAAUUAAUAAGCCGGAUGCAUUAUUUCGGUACACUAGCACUAGCAUGUGCUUGAUGUACAAGCUGAAGCUUAAGUAAAACGGAAGCAUAUGGCAAGCAGAAGGAAUCCAUCCUGACGAGGCAGAAAGCCAUCCGUUUUGCUUUAGCUCCUGGCGCUUUUCAUGCACAAACACUUGAAAGACACCUUUCUUUCCUAUACUUACUUUCAUGCCUCUAUUAUUUAGUUAGCACUUCUCAACAAGAAAAAAGUGGUCACCAAAAGCUAGCGGUACUCUACGCAAAUGGUCACUUCCCAGCCGUAUAAGAGCCGAAUCAUUGCACUACCUCACUCACUUUAGUAUGCAGCUUGUGUGGCGCAAAAUUGGAACAAAGUUCAACACAAGCUCUAAGAUGGGGUGAUUUGUAUAUCCAUGCAUGGACAUAAAAUUUGUCAGGUCAUGGCAUGGAGACAGGAAGCUAGUAUGUAUUACACGUCAGCUUAAUUAGCCUGUGACGUGCUGACAUGCCUGGGAAUGGCGAUCAGGCGAUGGGCAUUGGGACCCAAGGUAGAGAACAGAAGAGGGGUCAUUGGCACAAUUCAAAGCCGUUCUUGGUCACAUGGUGUGCUCCUUUAGCGAGCAAAGCUGGCAGGCUUUGUCCAGUUGCGCUAGCUGAAGCCGCUAAACAGUAAACAUACAGUGCAACCCUUUCUCAGUCUUGCUAUCACCAUUAAAUUUAUGGUCAGGAUCUCAAACUCCCUGCAGCACACCCAAUUAAUUAGGGCAGAGUGCAUGGAUGGAUGGAUGCAUAUAUGCUUGGCCGUAAGGACUCUAUAAUUAAACUAGUGGUACAGGAAUAUAAUCUGGCAAAGAAAGAUGGCCAUAUGCACUUUGGGCUCUUGAUGGUGUGCUAACCAGCUAAAGUUUGCCUGUACUGACAGAGAUGUGUCGUCCCAUGCAGAUCACUGUCGACUCGCAAGCCUUGUAGAGUCGGCCUCGUUGAAUUAACUCUGAUCAUUCUCAAUUCAUCAUUCUCGCCACCGGCCAACCUUGAAAAAUCAGACCACCUGUAUCAACAACAUGCAUUGGUGCACGGUCUACUGUAAACCCUACAGCUACGGUUUAGAUAAGUAUGCAUCUUCCCCUGAGCGUGAGAGCGUCCACAUCCAGGGGAUUGCAUGGCCUAGCCAAGGAGCCACUAGAGAAACCACCAUACAAGCGGCCCGUGAGCUAUAUAUACAGGCUCAUUUAUCUGACAGAUUUCUUGUGUGUGCGUUUGAGAUGCCAAAUGAGAUCGAUGUCUCACCAAAAUGAGACUAGACCUUGCCUUAGCAUGUACAGUACAAGACACAUGAAUAAUUUGGUGGUACGUGUUGGGCAAAUGGACAUGGGUACGUGAUGGGUCCGGUCAAUCACAAAGUGUCGCAUGCAUAUGUAUGUUCACCAGAAAAUUUUACCUGGAUUUUGUCCUCCCCUGUGCCUCCUAUGAGUACAACGUUUACUGAAGAAUAUAUACCAGGCUAUUAGCUAUAUGCUCUACUUUCUACUCGAACACGGUGAGAUUCUAGACCUUAGCUAGGCCCUCUUCUCAUCUCAGUAUUCUCCAGGCUUAGAAUACAGGGCUCAAAGAGAUGUACUACUUAACCACAUUUAGGAUGAAUCAUAAAUUGUAAAAGAUCAAAGGACAGAAAGACAGAGGCUACAUUUGACAGAUACUCCUAUAUCGCUUGCCCGUGAAGCGAUUACGAAUUGCCUAGGAGGCUACGAGCCCAGCCCUUUUACAAGUGCUCCUCCUCCUCUUACGUUCCAGAUGAGAGAUUAAUGGCUAUUGCCGCAAGAUAUAUAGGAAGUGCCCAAGGCCUAGCACACACGCGCAAUAAUGGAGGACCCAUGGCUAAAAAGCUGGAUCAGUGUUAGUACCAUGGUACUAGAUAGCUGCUUUUUUAUGGUAACCGGAGGCCCAUGGGACCCUUAUGUGCUCACGGUCCAUGAGGCCAGUCCUCGCAUGUGCCGAGGUCACAAUUCCACAUACUCAAUGAGGGACUCUUCAUCUAAUCCAUUUGAUCAAUGAUAGUAAUAUCGAAAGCUACAGUUUAACUGUAGCGAAUUGUUUGUUUGGCCAGAUUGACCUGUCGUCGAUUUAAAAUCUAGAUGUGGUUAUGGAUAUAAUGCAUAGAUGGAAAGGCAAUCUUCAGCUACCUUCCUGUUGGAUACUCUUUUUAAGAUAAUGGUAGAUGUACACGCAUUGACGUGAAAACGUACCAACAGAUACAGAAGAAUUUUAUAGACCUACGGUCAUACACCCUGUAUAGAGAUGUGGAAAAUAUGUGCUGGAGUACAUUCAGUCUGGCGUACCUUAAUGAAUCUGAAAGAAGUCUGGAGUAUAUUCAGUCUCUCGACUUUUCAAGGCUGGAAGCCAAGAGAAAGCUGGGACUUCCAAUGACAAUAGAGCUGACAAGAGGAAAGGAGACAGUAAAAUUUAGGUGUCCAUGGUAACCAGAGCAGAAGCACAGAAAACACAUGCAAUGGCUCAGCAUAAAAUCCCCAUACCCCCUAUCCCGUACUUAUCCUCUGACCAGGGAUAUUAAAAAAUUUAUUAACAACGAAACAGAUCAUUAACGCAUAUACAUAAUUGGACGACCACAUAUGAUGCCAAAAGACAGAAAGCAUAAUCAUUACAUAAUUAGUGCUUCUGACCAAAACCCACUGCUCUGAUUACCUGAAAGAAGCAUGACAAAAGUGCUAUGCUCUCAGAUAUUCUCCUCGCCUUCACAUCCUGAAGAAAAAAAGGUUCCAGAGUUGUACAAGCAUAUCGCCGGUUUCUUACCAACACAGAUAGAGACGGGAUUACAAAAAGCAUCCCACGGAGAUUGAUUUUGCUCAGGACUCAGGAGUCGACAUGGCAGAGUGCAAAGCUGUAAUCCAUCCUAUACACCGUGGUAGACUUUACAAUUUCCUUGUACUAUGCAGGGGCAUCCUAUACACCGUUGUACUUACAAAGAAGAAUGAAGUGCCGUCCCUUAUGAACUAGCAUAGUAUGACCUUAUUAUUUCCACAAAUGAAGGCAAACAUCUUCAAUUCACUUUCAAGUACACAGGUGACAUUUCAUCAACACCACUCCGUGACGAGUUCCAUUUAUAUCAUAUAUGUAACAUUAUAUACUUACAAUAUGAAUCAAAUUUUCAUCUCCCAGAUAUCCGUUUUCCAGAGCUCCCAACCCACUAACUUAUUUACAAUGAAGAUCUCGGCAAUGUUAGGUCCUGAAGACUAAGAGAUAGAAGGGCAAAUGGUUUUGACAUUUUGUGUGAGGUAUCACAACCUCACAGGCAAGUGUUCAAUCUCUGAAAUUGAAGACCCAAGCUCUCUCUCUUUCAGAGCCUUAUUCCUAAGCAACCUGAAACAGACACAAGUUAGAGAUGGAUGGAGUAACCUAGAAGUAAGAUUCUCCAAUCAUAAGUUCUUAUCCUAAGAAAUGCAAUGCACUUUUUACUAUCAAGCAUACAUGCCCCAUCGCCAUGGUAAAGAAGGAAAAGAAUCAGAAAGUCAGCAGAAGAGGAUCUAUUCUACUGACAGAAAUUUUAACUCUGCUAAUAACUUUUCAUAUUUUUCUGUCACAAAGUGUUGUUUUCGUAGAUUAAUUUCACUAAAAAGGAUGGUAGCCUAUUCAGUCAGUGUACACAUUAACUUUAAAGAUGACCAUAGCAAAAGAAAUUAUAAAGAUGAACAAGUACUCCCAUAAAAUAUCCUCUUGACACGUAAGUAACUUAUACAGUCAACAAAUCUAGGGUCAACACAUAGAAGUCUUUAUGUGUCACCACUAUCUAUUUUUUAGAAGUUAGAAAACCACUCACGUUAUUACAGUUAGAUGAUAUCAUCUGGUUAAUAUGGUAAACCCAUCGGAAACAUGCUUCUUCUCUAAGACUAAGGCCUUGUUUUUGGGAAUUAGAGCACAAAAGGUCGUUGAGGGAAAUGAAUCUAAAGUUUCAGCACACUGACCACGCAAGACACAACAUAUCAUCAUCAAUGAAGGUUGAAGCGACAAUCAGUUAUCAAUAUGUGCACAAUAGUUUGAGAACUAUUGUCCUUCUCAUCAUCAUGUUCCUCAGUGUUGUCAAAAGUUCAUUCCUCCAUCUAUCAUGGUCAGUAAUUUGCUCUGUCAGAACAUAGACAUCAAAAACCCAACCAGCAUGCUAAAUAUCAUUAUAAAACUGGUCUUCAACGCCCCUGGUGUUAAUUUUCUGUUUAUAUCAGGAAUUCACGACAUCAAAAGGAUCUAAACAUAAGAGCAUGAUAUGGACUGCCAUCCAAGGAUGCAACAAUAGCUCUAAUGAGAACAUAGCAAGUAUAGUAUGAACAGUGCAUAGUAUGUGUUGUAUGCCUGAGUUCUCUCUAUAUUUAACAAUUUUAUCGGCAAGCUUAAGAUUUUGGAAAAGUCAACAUGCCACGUUACAAUUAAGAGUAACUUCAGAGUCACCUUGUCCCCUCAAACUACAAGGUUUGCCAGAAACCUACUCUCAAAUACAACCCCAAACGGGCAACUAAACCACUAGGUCCUUUAAUGAUGUCCAUGGAAUCUUUUUUAUCAUACAAAUUAACUAGAAGAGGUGUGCAACUCAGUUACACCCACACUUAACUCUAAAUAUAGUGAAGAUCUAUAUAGAGAGAACAUCGAAUGUGCACAAUAAUGACAACAUUAGCACAAGCCUUAAGAUCAUCUUCCCAUAUCUUUUUAAAGUGGCCACCAGGAAAAUAGAACUGUUGAGAAGGAGCUCCACCAGAACAAUUGGAUUCGUGCACACCAGUGUCACUCUGGGAAAUGGUGCAAUGACUUUGUUUUGGCACGAUAGCCAGCACUGUAGCACAGGCCUUAAGACAGUCUUCCCAAAUCUUUUCAAAGCGGACACCAGGAAAAAUAGAACUGUUCAGAAGGAGCUCACACGUUGGUAUCUCCACAGGAUAAAUUGAAUUAGCCACCCUCACAGAGAUCAUCAACGGUAAUUCAGCCGCAGCCUCAAUCUCCUGAUGACAUCUUCUCAAGGUGGACAGAAAAUGGGAGUACAAGGCGUGUUUGCUUGCCUACCAGGCACAGUUUACCGGCUCCAAGAUUUGGAGGGUUCAUGCAGAGACAAAAUGUCGGUUCUUUCCUUGGUCCAUGCUCCACAAACCUUACGGCAGAUAACCUUGCAGCAAGAGGACGGGGUAUGGCCUCCAUGUGCUUUGCAAUUAGGUGCCAGAGAGUGCUGAGUGUUGACUACCAAUGCAGAAAUUGCCAUUAUACAAAGAUUUGGGAGAUGGUUCGGCUCUGGAAUGGCAAUUUUCCAUCCAGAAUUCACGCUGCUUCAUCGGUUGAUGAAUGGUGAAACGCUGAUAGGUGACAAUUAGUAGUGACAGGAAGCCUUGCUGAACGGCAGAGCUCCUCCCAUUUUCCUCACAGGUCAAGUAAGCGUGAAUGUAACAUAUGAUGCUCUAUAUGAUCCAGACAUAUUAACGGUUAGCAUAACCUAAAUCAUAGCGGCUUAUAAUCUAUACUGCCGAUUGCCAACUGUGCUUGAACAGUGAUUCCUAUAACCUUAGGACAAUCAUUUUGAUGUGGUUCAAUUCAAGUGGACGGCCUUAUGAAAACCCAUCAGGUUUGGGUAUUCAGACAGCUGAACCUGAAUUUGUGCCAGCUGUAGGAGAGCUAGUGCUACGGAUUAACCAGAGUUCAGACGUGCACAAACCCAUUCCACGCAGUAGGAUCACAAAGCUAAAUUACUAUACUAGUACUAUGUGAUUUAAGCAGUCGGAGACGAAACGGAAAUGGCUGAGUGAGCAAGCGGCAUACCUCAAUCGUCGUGAGGAUUGAUAUGAUCCCCAUCCUCGAUGUCAACAUAGUCGUCGUUGUCGUCGUCAUCCUCAUCUGAAGACGAUGAUGAUGAGGAAGAGGAGGAGAAGGAGGAACGGGAGUGCCGAGCUAGCAUGAGGUCCGGGGGCGGGAGCAGGAGGAGGCGCUGGCGGCGGCGAGGGUUGGCGAAGCGGAGAGGGGAGGCGUGGGCGGGGAUGAAGGGGACGCAGAGGAAGGCGGCGAGGCGGGCGAGGAGGUGGAGCGGCCCGCAGCAGAGGAGCGCGAGGACGCGGUCGGGCGGGAGCGUCUCCGGGUUGCACGCCACACGCUGCCACCCCUCCGCCGACGCCCGCGCCACCGCCACCACCCACCCCGCCCGCACCGUCAUUCCUCAGCCGCUUUUUAACCGGCGCCGAUGACGAAUCCCCCACACCCACCCACUCCAAUCCCCAACGCGCCGGAAUGGCGUGCGGCGCACGGUGGGGAGGAGGUAGCGAUUCGAGGCGCGCACGGCACGACCGCCCGCGCGCGUGCGUGGGGGGUUCUCUGCCUCGCUCCGCCCUGCCGCCGUGUGGAUCUCGCCGGCCGGCUCGGAUUUGCCGCUGCUUCUGCCGCCGGGGCAGCGUUUUGGGUUGUUCAAUCGAUUACGGUUGCUGGCGGGGCUGGGGAAUCUGUUGGGCUUUUAUAGCUAAGCUUUAUCUACUCAGAUGCGUACGUGGACUGUAGUGGCUGACUCGACGUGGAGCCCACUCGUCAGUGAUAAAUUUGCUGUUGCGCCUAAAGUUUCUCAGCGAGACACCUUUGAGAUAUUUGAAAAAAACAAGUCAUACAGCAUAGUUUGCAGCAGAAAAAGUAGCGCAGACGAGUCGGACCAACGCUUGAACACAACGCAACUACCUAGCAGUAGCAUGUAAACAUGUAUAAUGAUGGAUAACAUGGCAGAAACAAGGAAUACAGCUGGUUGCCUGGUUAAAGCACAAGUGUUUUGGGCCUCAUAACAAUGUCAGGAUCAUGGAAUAGAAAGGUUGCUACCGAAAGGUAAAGAAAAUAGCAUGGAAAAGCCAGAACGCCUACAGGUGAGGGCCAAUCCUGAAUAUUGAACAUUGAAAAACAGAGCUUUCGGUAUGGAACAGGAACUGUAUCAUCCACAGCAUUUUAUUUCAUGCAUUGUGAUGUGACGAUUAAUGUAAAAAAAAUAGCGACCUCUGUCGAGCACAAAAAAAAAAGGCUUCAUGGAAGAGUUCUCUCGUAAAGGGGGAGGGCUCCCAGUGCUUCACGCUCCGCUGCCUCCUUUUUCACCUGCAACAGAAGUCAAAUUAAACAUGAUGAAAAUAUCAAAAGUAGCAUCACAGCAUAAAAUCAGACAACCAAUUUGAGGCAGGAAUUUGUUCGGUAGUGGCAUCAGACUUGGAAGGAAAUACUUCUAUUUAUUAGUGAUUACUAAGGCAUAUACAAUUACCGAGGGAGUAAGAAGAAUACUAGACUAGACAGUCACAUCUUACAUAGUCUAAGAAUUUGCACAGUGGCUCAUCUUGUACUAAUUUCAUGAAACAGUAGCAAUAAUAGUAAUGAACUAAUGACCGCUGCUCAACCGGCAAAUAACCAAGAACGGCAAGUGGCGAGAUCAAUGACAAUGUUCAUGCUGUCAUGAAUCCUUAAGAUCAUGGUCAAAGUAAAGGAUGUACAUCUACACAGGACAACUUUCGGGUAGCAUAGCUUCAAGAGAAACUUGAUCAAACUGUUUUACAUGAACUUAUAGGGUGUUUGCUUUGAGCAAUCACCUCAUUAUAUCAUUAGUGGAAUGACCCCAUGUCCCCACCCUUUAGUUUGUACUCCCUCCGUCCCAUAUUAAGUGCCGAAAUAUUACAUGCAUCUAGACGUAUUUUAGUAUAUAGAUACAUCCAAAUUUAGAAAAAAUUGAGUCACUUCAUCAAAAGAAACACCCCACUUGAGGCAGAACCUCUAUAUUGUAUGUUUGUCCUGUACAUAUGAUAUCAUAACCAAGAUAGAAGUGCAUUGGGAUUUCAAAUUAGCAUAAUGUAGAAAUGUAAAGUGUGACUGUUUAUGCAAAUAACAAGUGAAAUGACAAAAGGGCGAGCAUCAGCAGAUGGUCAGGUACACUUACCAGAGCUAGCAUGUCAGUCAAAUAGCUUCUGAAUGGUGUCUGCAGUGCCUGUACAAAGAAAGUAAAUGUUUCAGAAGCCUGUGCUUAUCAGAGAAAGAGGUUUCAACGAAUAUUAGUUUGUAAAACAUGUUUCUUAUACAUUGACAUUUCAUAGGUUUAAUGUAUUAAUGGCUUCAGAAAAAAAGGAACUCUGGAACAUCUACAGGACCGACAGAGAAAGAAGGCCAAGCAUUCAUCUAAUCUAAAAUAAGAGCAAAGCUAUCCAGGAAAGCAAGGAUAAAAAUGCAGUACAUCGCAAAAAUGCAGCACAUGGACAUCCAGAAAAAAGAACUCCUAACAGGCUAACACAGAUGCAAACCACAAGUGGAAAAUGACAAGAAACGACAAAUAGGAUCGUCAACAAGAAUGCCUGCAACAAUCUGACCCACCAGCAUGAGGGAAUAUCCUGUAAGAAGCCUACACAGGGAUAUUUCAAAAGGCUUAUCAAACCUAGUCAACCAUAUUUUCGUUAGACAUCUUAGAAGUUCUACCAAUCCUAACAAUCACUAUUCUCAUUCAAAUGUGAAUUGCCAAUUUGCCGGAAACCACUUCUCUCAUCCAACGUUGUUCAAAUCUCCAGCAUAGGUAGAUGGGUUUCUUAGGCAGCCAACAACAUUAAAAUGUACUCCCUCUGUCCCGUAAUUCUUGUCGAAAUAUUACAUGUAUCUAGACAUUUUUUAGGAAUAGAUACAUCCAUAUUUGAGCAAAUUUGAGACAAGAAUUAUGGGACGAGGGAGUAAUAUAUAUACGCUGAAAGGGUGCUCGCCCUUUUUGUUCCACAUUCAUUUCACUCGACUAGCAAUCAUCAACGAUAUAACAGAGACACGGUGCAUCUACUGCAGGGGCUCUCAAAAACACAACCUACACGGAUAGAACUGUAGAACUACGAUAAAAAUAGAAAUAGAAGGGUAGAACUCGUCAUACAAAUCCAUACACCAUCAGCACGAGAACCGCGACCCCCCAUUACACAGAUCGCACGCGCACGGAUCGAGAGAUGCAUCACAGAUCAGGGCAGGACCGGACCUGGAGGUCGUCGGGGAGGUACUGGUGCUUCAUGGAGAGGUCCAUGGCGCGCUUGAGGCGCUGGUGGCGGGCGUCGACAACCUCCCUGGGCAGCCUCCCGAGCGCCUCCUUGAUGUCCAGCUCAAAGUACGGGUCGUACAGAUCGUCGUACCGCAGCCCUUGAAAAUCAUCAUCAUCACACAAACCACAGGCAUAUCAUCUGUCAUUCCGCACAAAUACCGGCCCAGAUCGGCAAUAACACGAACGGAAAAUCGGAUCCGAGGGGAGGGGAGGGUUGGGGUCACCUACCGAAUUUCGUGAGGCGGGAGGCGACGGUGUACUUGUGGAGGCGCGCGAGCGGGUUGCGGCGCGGGUUCACGAACCACUGCGAGAACGCGGACAGCAUCGACGACAUCGUGGGCGGCGGCGGCGGCGUCGAUGGGCGAUCCCGGUCGUCUUCUUCUCUUUGCCUUUUGAUUCGUGUUUGUGUGCGAGAAGAAGAGGGGGCGGAGGUUGUUGUUUCCGUCUUGGGCCGGCGAUGGAGAGGGGCGCUUCAGAAAUAGAAAUGGGCUGAGAAGAAAGAGUAGGGCCUGCCAGUUCCUUUUCUUUUAAAAAAAACGUUUGUUCUUUUCAAGAGAAAUCAUUUACAAUUCUAAAGUUCCCUGAAAAAAUUACGACUAUAAAUUCACUAAAAAAAUAAUUUACAAUUCUAAGGCACUUAAUAUAGGACGGAGGGAGUAUUAAAUUUGAAAUAGAUUAAAAGGAUUAUUACGAUUAUCUUGACUUCUAAAUAGAGCAAAAUUACAACGGGCCAUGGAGGUUCUCAAACUUGUUUUUGCUGUGUUCUUUAGGUUUUAAAAAUCUUUGUUCUUGUACCUUCUCAGAUACUGUAGGAAAUCUCAGUCCAUUAGCUAGCUUUAGAUAGUAUAUUAAUUUAGAAAAAAAGGGCAAGAACCACUGCACCGUUUAAUCAAUUAUUGUCAUCGAUCUCUCUUUUGUACAAAUUCUUAAACACCAUUAUAUGUACUCCAAGAUGGAUACUGGAAAAAGAUUUGCAGGCACACAUAAUACAAAUACAAACACUUAAAUCGGCCUGUUAUAAAAAUGGGGCAAGAAAGGGAGAAAAAAAAACACAAUAUCAAACUCCAUCCUAUUAGGUAAGGCAUCAAGAGCUUCUAUAUACAGAUACAUCAGCUCAACCUCACUCACAUCAACCAAAGGCGACAGUUCAGCCUCACUCACAAAGUCACAAGAUUCACACACACAAGGAAAGCAUCUACGCAUCUGCCUCUCUUUUUGUCUCGUCCUUUUCUUGACGCCAUUGCCAUGGAAAACCAUGUGGUUCUAUACAUAAGAUAAUUGCCGACUCGAACGCGAAAAUCACACACCGUCAUGGCUGCCAUCCAAUCCUUGCAAGAAGCCUAGAGCUUCAGCUUCACCAUGGCCGGGUGAUGGUGCGAGUCGACCAGGAUGGACCACAGGACAUGUACAUCUUCGUCCUGGCAAGACUUGACAUCUUUGUACAGGAUGCGCAUCCCCCUCCCUGCCAAGGAGAACACCAAGCACAACAAUGUCAGCAGUGCCUAACAAUGCUACAAGAAAGAGAAACAAAGCCCAUUCCUUUUCUGUAUACAAUGCUACAAAAAAGUAAUGGUCUGCACAACAACACCAAGAAUAAGAGUAAAUGAGUAAUCGAUAGAUCUUACGGUUUCUCCGUGCAGAAUGUGCCCGGACCAAGAGCUUCCUCACAGGAGAGAAGAGGGAGUGGAGCCACCCCAUGAGGAAGCCUUGAUGAGAGCCUGAGGUUAUGGCCUCAUGGGGAGGGGUGAAAUGAGGGAACAGAGGCUGCAAGGCAUGAAGAAGGAGGAGAAAAUAAAAAGGGUGGGUUAGAGAGGAAGUAACCAUCACGUUUUGCUUUUUGGCACGAGGUGAAGUUUAGUGCACUGUACCCUUCUCCUCCUGACACAUUAUGCUUCCUUGCAACCCAAUCAUGGUACUUUUCAGCGAUUCGUUCUGGUAUCUCGUCCCUUUCCACUUCUUACUCUUCCUACCGCCUGCCUUCGCUGUUAGAAAAGGCCAUGUCUAGCCCCACACCUAACCAUAGAGAAUAAUAAUAUGCUGCCAAUUUUAAAAUCCUAACCCCAGAUUUGAGGAGCCUUUCGUUGAUUUUGUUUUACUUGAAGUUGCUGUUGUACCUGUGCUUUAUAACAUACUGCCUGGUUGCUCCUCUUUUUCAAGGAAAUCAAAACAGCUUGAUUACAACCUUCCUGAUUGGAUGUAUCAUGUACAUACAUAAUUAGUAUUUCAACAAAAUAUUACAGUUUGCUAGAAAUAUAAGAAGCUGGUUACUUGAAUUAAUAAAAUGGGACAGCAGAGGGACUACAGAGGUUUGCUUGGAUAUUAAAUGUUCUUGGCUUACAUGAAAAAUAUUUGCUGCUUUUGGAAGGUGCAGGACUAUGAACAAUCAAACAUUAUUUUGUCUACUUUUAGCAGUAUCAGACCUACCAUCUAGGAUUUUACAGCUUAAUUUACAAAAAUACCACAAUAUGCAAGUAACUUGCAAAUCACUUUUGUAUUAAUAAGUAAUCCUGUAUUAAACUUGUCAUUGAGUUUUUGAAUAAAUUAUCAUACUAUGACUAAUAGGCAUACCUUUUCGCUACUGUGUCAUGUGUUGCUGGUAUGCUGCCCUUGUCAAUAUACAUAGACAAAACUUGACCAAGACUUGAUAUCUUUAAGAUUCAAAAUAUUAAAUGGGACAUUUUACAGAUCGCUGCUUAGCAGAGUGGGGAGUAACAUGUGAUAAAAUGGAAGAGUAAAUAGCUUUACCUUUACAGAAGCUUGUGCAGGAAUAGCAAGGUCCUUUGUUCUCAGUGCGGCACUGUGGGUUCAUCCAUCCAUUGCCAUGUCAUAGGAUUUUAUUUUUAAGGCUAUACUCUCAAUAAUUGAGACUUCACAUCAAUUUAUCUAGUAAGUACAAUGGAGUAAACCUGUUGAUGCUGUGUUAUUCUUACGAGCUCAAUCCAACAUUCAUCCCGACUUACCAGACCAAGCUUAACAAGACGAUAUUGUGAUCUGAACAUGGACAUCAUAAUGGUAACAGCAUCCAACUACACAAGACUUGCUCAUUUCACUGCAGCAAUAUGGCACCAAAAUUCAAACCCACGCUGUUAGUCUCAAGGAAUCCUGUUGUCAGAUCCCAACAUUUGCCAUAUAGCUUGUUUUCAUACACUAGUUACAACUCAUUGGUAUUUAAUAAGUGUGCUGCACAUGACAUGCAUAGCCUGGCCUGAUUGACCUGAUUAGAGCUGCAAGUUUGUGACCCUCAGGGUACCCUUUGACCCUGCUUAGUUCAACCAAAUGAACUAAAGUUUGAAAAUGACACAACUUUUUGAAAAACUAGGGUCAAAGGGUACCCUGAGGGUCACCAUGUUGCACCCUUAGACCUGAUGAUCAACAACUACAACUAAAGCUAGUGCACAGUGCAAAACCCUGGUAAUCCUGGUCCAGCCCAUUUUGCACUCAACCAAAACGUUGUUGCAACUUUGAUUAGUACGAUUUGAUGUAUGACUUCAGCAAAUCCAAUACUGUCGAGAAUAUCAAAUGGAUAUUAUCUUCAGUUGAGACAGCAAAUAGCAUGUGUAAAAUUCAACCAGUAUGGUCGUAAAGUGUUAAGUUUCUUUUCUAAAUGCACACAGUAUGGUUGCGAAGUGAUCAGUAUUGUUUUCUCUAGGCGAAACAACUAUCAGCUACUCCGUACUUCAUUGCACCAAAAAUCACAUAAUCACUUUUCCCAUGUCAGUAUCAGGACACACUAAAAUUUCUUUGGUACUUCAAUCCUCCCUUCAUACAGCCAUGCCUCACUGACUAAGAAAAGUAGGAAUAGUUUCUAGCUAAAAACUAGCACUGCAAUCAGGUAGUCCUCCUGAUAGAAAAAUAAUCCCCUAAGGUAUCAAUCAAUAAACAUUCAGAAAAUAACAACCAUUGGUUCAGAGGUUCUUCUCAAAUGUCACUAUCCAGGGAAGCCAUAUACUUUGUCUGCAUUCACCACAAAUGCAAGCUUUUAUAAAGCUUGAAAUAUAUCUGCAAUUAACCAAGUUGUAGCUACAAUAAAUUCUGGAUGAAUGGACAGGUAACUAACACACAACAGACAACACCCUGUGUCUAAAAGAAACAAAUGGUCUGCGAGCUAAUAUGAGACCAAAACUGUCUGCAUUGAAUGGUUUCAGUGCUGGUUAGAUAAAUUUCAUUGUGAAGGCUCUGUUUGAAUUUAGAAGACUAAAUUGAUGAAUUUAAGAUUGUUUCCAAGAGAUAAAUCAAGCUAGCCAUAAUUCAUGUUAAGCGACACCAACAAGCUCUACUCAUAUCUGUCUAGGUCGAGCUGCACACAGAGUAGAGAUCAAUUCAGGAAACCCAAAGAUCAACUUCAAGCUCCACUAGGUCACAGGUAAAGAAUUUUCUGGACCUAGAGCUAUUUCAGGACUAUCCUUUGUAGUAUUCAUAAUAAUAAUUUAUGAACUGCACUUUUGUAUAUGGCAGUUUCUUUAAUGGAAAUCGGUGGGUAGGCCUACUGUUUAAAAAACUACUACAGCAUAACUAACCAUGUCUUGCUUGCUUUAGUAGGACUUGGUCCAUUUCAGACUCCCAUGACUACAGUUUCAAAAAGAAAAUAUCAUGAACCACACAAUCUUCUGUUGGAAGGGAAGCAUCAAGUGAAUUAAAUGCAUUCAAUAAAAUCACAAAAUACUACAAGAAGCAAAUUAUGAAAUAAAGUGGUGUCCUUAUCUGAGAAGAAAAAAUUGAGCUGUGAGAUUUAAAUGUUUUGUUGAUAACUCAGGAUAAUGCAUUGUUUAAUAUGUCAAACAUCAGAGCUGAAGUGGUCCAGCAAACAAAGCUUAAUUUCAGUGGCUAUCAUUGCCGAUGGUCAAUGCAAUCUCCUUAUAUAAAAAAAACAGAGUUAAGCCUGCCUUACUGGUUAGCCACAUGGUACAUAUCAUCACUACAACAAGAAAAACACUGCAAGAAUGCACACAAAGAAAAGAGGAAAAUUACAAGAUGACCACUUUAAGGGAUUUAUAAAAUGGUAUUCCCUCCGAUCCAUAAAAAGUGUCGCCCACUUAGUACAAAAUUUUUACUGACUUAGUACAAAAUGGGCGACACUUUUUAUGGAUCGGAGGGAGUAUCAACCAAUGUGAAUUUUACGUAUCUUCGUUAAGUUGUAGCAUCUGACUUCAGGGUUCUCACUAUGCUUGUCGGUCUCCUGCAGAAAAUGGGCAUAUUCAGAUGCCUACAUAUAAGCACAAAAAGGACUGUCAUCAGUGUACAGACUUGAUGCUCAAGCAUUCCAUUUGUCUUGAUUCCUCGAAAGAUCCACUUUUGCACAUGGAUAGAAGUUAUAUUGUGAUAUUACUUUACAAGUUUGUUGUGGUAACAUUUGUUACUGGUCAUAAGGGAACAAAAGGGGAGAACAGCAUGUAGAAGUUAGAAGAAAAGAAUCAUUAUAUAAUACCAUUAAUAUUAAAAAAUACUCUGUAUCCGGACUUCCAGUAUAUACCUUACAUCAUGACAACAUUCUUUCUUAGAGCAUUGCCAUAGUUAAACUAGUUAGAGCAUUAGAACCGGUCUCACUUAAGGCACGAGGUAGGGAAAGAAGUGACAGAAACACACAGCAAUAUCACAGAAUCUUGCCAGAUAGUUCAAACACAACGUUUAAAAAGGAUGGCAAAACCAAAAAGGAAAAGAAAAUGAAAAAACAUAUAUUGGAGUCUUCAUAGCACUCCUAAGAACAGACACUCAGUGAAACAUCUUGUUAGCACUAGAAAGGAGGCAAGUGCAGAAACAAAUUAUGAUCCUGCAAGCACCUACUCAACCUUCCAUGCAUAUAGGAUCAGCGAGAAACCAAGACCUUGUAGCUGAGACUCCCUAAAAAUCUGUGAGUAUGACCACGGCAUCGACUUCUCAGGUGCUUGGGAUGUCUGAAACAUGAACACUGCAUUGCUUGUCGACGAUCCAAAGAGCCAACUGUGGACAUCCCAGAACACCUCCACAGGCAAUCCAUCGACGAGAAUUGUCUGAUUUCCCCUAAACUUCCAUGCCAGCCUCUUCACCUGCAUGACCGGUUUCUUAUCGAUACGUAUCUCAAGACAUGGAUCCUUGAGGCUGACAGCAUCGCACUCUAUCACAACAUCAUGAAACUGGCCAUUGUCGCAGAACUGCGCCUUCGCUGAGUAAAUCUUCUUACCAUAUAUGUGCUCUCUCCUUGCUACGAAAGCGGCGUUCGACAUGGGUCGAUUCAUGCCGGUCUUCCGGUAGGCGUCCUUUUUCAUGUCACCGAGCAAGAGCACCAGCUCAAGGUCGAACACCACAGCGACAUAGAACCCCUCCAGUGGUUCUGGCCCUGUGCUGAACUUGGCGCCCGAGAGGUCCCAGAAGAUCUCAAUCUUGCCGCUGUCGACGUCGAGGCUCUUGGACCCCUUCUUCUUGGAAAAGAGCCAUGGCUUAAUUUCUGCCUUGCACAGGGACUGGCCGGACAAGCCGUCCACGCCGAUGCUGAGGCCCUGCCCCAUGAGGCUCUUGCUCCAUGUGACCGAGAUCACGCAGGGCCUGCCCGAGAACUGCGCCUGGUAGAGGCAGGUCACCAGGUUCUGUGCCGCGCCCUUGCCGGCGCUCGACGAGGACGACGCCGCGUCCGCGAUCUGGACGCCGCUCUCCCCGAAGCACGAUGGGAAGUCCCUCAUGCUCCGAACUUUUCAGCGAACACCUUGCGUGCAACCCAGCUCAGAGCACAGCGCGAUGCCCCCACUCCUCCACUUGAGCUCCCCCGCAAUGCCGGCCAAGGGAAGCGGCGGCGCAGAGCUCUCUCCUGCCAGCAGAUAUACAGACUGCCGCAGAAGAUAAUUUUUUUUUGCUCGAUCCAGCAACGCCGCCGCAAGUGACCGCGAGAUCCCCAACCUUUACUGCCGAAAGCAGCAGCAAGAACCGCCCAAAAAGCAAAGGGCCCGAGGCAGAGCGAUCGAUCCGGCAGCAAGCUUCCCUCACGAAGCCGCCGUCUUCCAGUGCAAUCAAAGCGAGGCCACACGCUCCCGGCCAGCCUUGCCCCGAAACCGCGGCAGGGAAGCAACCGUCUUUCACACAGAUUUCUCCAGAAUCGGCCCCAAAUUGCCACAGAAGCAACCGCACGAAGAACAGCAAAGCAACAUGAAAAUUUCUUCCCCGGGUAAGGAUUCAAGCCAAGAGAGCCUGCAGGCAGCCACGAGAAGACGGAGAGAUAUGUGGAGACAUGGGAGAGGAGGCCAGGGAGUACCAGCAACCAGUGCGCUAGGAACCGCAGGAGGCAACGAGGAGGAGCAAGCAAAGCAAGAAGCAGCAAGGAAGUGAAGAGUAGCAGCCAGGAGGAGUAGGAGAGUAGUAGUGACUCACUGGGGGAAAGGAGACAAAAGGUUUGGGGGGAUCAAAUCAAUGGAGCCCUACUACAAGAUGCCACACAACAACACACUCACUGUCAGCCAACUCAUGGUGGUGGAGGAGAAGAGGAGCAGGUGCUGCCUGCUCUCCUUUCUCUUUUGUAACUGCUGCCAUGCCAUUUGCCCAUGGUUUGUAGCCUAGCCUGUUUACAAUCUUGCAAGCUUCCUGGGAAUCUAGGAACUCCCUUUAGAAAAAGAAAAGCAGAGCUUCUUGAAGAUUGAGAUCUUACUACCAAGACAACAGCAGGAAAAAUUCAGUUCGUGGCUGGGUGUGAAAUUAUCAGUCCAACUGUAUGAAUAGGAUAAGCCGUUUUUUAAUAUCAUUGGAUCAAUAAGCUAGGAGGAGGAGGUGAAGAAAUCCAAUGUUGGAGACAAUUGUCAGUGUGUCACAAUGUUGGAAAGAAUUUGGUCCUCUGGGUGGUACUUCCUCUCUCUUCAUCAGUCUUCAUUGAGUCUAUGCUGCCUUUUGCCAUGAGAAUGUCAGCAGCUUUAAAAAAAUAUUUUUCCAUGCAGGGGAGGACAAGUUCACAUGCAUCACAGUGAAAAAAUGACCGGAGGGUGUACCCUGCUACAGAUACUCCAGUGUUUACUCUGGGUACCCCAUCUCUUGCUGUUUUUCCCUGGCAUGGUUUUAGUUAUAGAAAUGUGCUUACAAGAUUAUACAUGUCCACUUGAUUGUUAUUAUUGCAGAGUGGGUGUAAGAUGGGUCUAAUCCUGUGUAGGUGAUGAUGCCCCCCCAAAUAUUUUUAACAAAAAAAAGGCAAAGGCAAAUUGAGCAUUGUAUUGCCAUGUUUACCCUUCUCUAUGUGUAUACUUAUUUAUAUGGUGACACAUGCUUUCUCAAUUAUUGCCUCCAUAUGAACUGUUGAUACAUACACCAUCCAUUUCUUAUGCACUCCAUGAUUGAGAGUGCACAAAUUAAGUACAGAAUUCUAUUCCAUAGAUUAUUUUCUCUCCAAGUUGACUUUAGAUCAAGUGAAGACCUAGUGCUAGCACCGGUACUAGAAAUAUUUUUUGUCACAUGUAAGUACAUGCCAAUAAGUAAAGAAUGCACAUGGAGAAACAAAUGAAAAGGAUGGUUUUCAUGCAGUCUUAAAUUGCACCAAGGCUCGGGCGCUCCGUCAAGCUGUUAGAUGCAACUGGACACUUCCUCCCGACUGUGAACUUCAACGGUCUGGACCAGAUUGGGUUCUUUUAUCCUUGAGAAGAGUAAAUGAUGAUUGUAGGGGAAAACUGAUGCUUAUUUGGUGGAGAUCCUGGCACUUGAGGAAUGACAUAAUCUUCAGUAAAGGUGACGCUUUUGUUACUGCCUCUGCUCAGUUCUUAUUCAGCUAUGCAAAGACUUUGGCUUCUCUCGAGGGCCGUAUCCCUGCUCCAGACCCCAAAGGGAAAUCUCCUCUGUUUGAUAUGAGUGCUGCUCCUCUGAUGCCGGCGACGCAAAAAUUGUUUAAAUGGAAACCACCCGAGACGGGCUGGAUAAAGCUGAAUGUUGAUGCUAGCUUCUUUGCAAGUUCUGGUGCUGCUGCUUGGGGCGCGAUCAUCAGGGAUGAGAAUGGCAGUGUCCUUGUCUCGGCCUGGAACUUGAUCAAUCACUGUCCGAAUGCGGAGACGGCAGAAGGGACUGCUUGCUUAGAGGGGAUUAAUUUGGCGAGACAGUUCUGCAACUUGCUUUUGGUGGUUGAGAGCGGCUGCCAAAGCCUCAUUUCUCUGAUCUGGGCAUACUUCGAGAGCCCCCCUGCGUUCUACUCUUCUGGAUAUCCGUCAGUUAGCCCUGUUGUUUAUUAGAUUUCAGUUUACUAGUAGGCUUAAUAACAGUGUGGCUCACGAGAUUGCUAAUUUCUGUCUUAGAGUCUCUUCAGGUGGUGUUUUAAGGAGAGGUGUGCCUCCCUGCGUGGAGUGCCUGGUGGAGUACGAUUGUAAUAACUUUGUUUCUUGAGUAAUUUAAAACCCCCCUUUCAAAAAAAAAAGAAACAAAUGAAAACUACCAGUGGUACCGGUAGUUUGUUUGUGUACCCCAAGCUGUGAGAGAACUGAAAUCAAUGGGAAUGACAACGGUUUUCUUGGAUCUGGGCCCCGCUCAUCUCAUCAGUUAACUGCACGCCCACGAGGGUGCAUUUAUUCACCUCCUCAGGAGAUCCAUACUCUUCUCCCCCCUUCAGCUGCUUCAUCUCCAAGCAAAGGUACCCAGAAAUUUGACACAUUUUUAAAGGAUCAAAUUCUGCAGUCUGGAGGAGCAACGGGGCUCUUCCAAUUCGAAGAAAAGGGAAGAAAUUAAGAGAGUUAUUUGCAAGUUUGUAUCACAAGACGCGUUUAUUAGUUUUCUUGUCCCAACUGCUUCAAGCAAAAUCUUAAACUGAUUCAAAGGGUUUAACUAUAUGAUUGAAUUAAUAAGUUAAAUUAAUCAUCAUACAUACACUGUUGUUUGUAUAUGUUUUCGGGGAGUCGGUGAGGUGUAACUUCCAUUAGCAUACAAACUUGAGAUUUAAAUUUUAAAUUUGCUUUGUCUUUUGCGGUGACCUUUAAAGUGAAGAAGGUGAACACUUUCUGUACUAAUCUUGCACCCACCUCACUUGAACCAAAGCAAUGCCGUACUACUCCUGUGGAGACAUGGAGUAGAACGCUAUCUGUUGAACACCUUAUUUCUUCGGGUACAAACUUUGCUGUUCAUGAAGAACUUUCCUCGUUCAGGGCCCCAUCUCAAUUACUGACCUAAGCCAACCAAACAUAAUGGUAGGUAUAUAGCUGGUGUUCAGUAGCCAAUUUCUCCCAACACUCUGUCAGCAGGGUGUUAACUAACGUGAUGUUAUAAUUACUCAAACUGAAAUCAACUAUUAGUAUCACUCCCUUUUUCUAUCAGAGUGAAAUGUUGGAUGAAUUUAGAGGGCACACUUCCAUUCGUAGGAUUGAUUCCAAAAAUGGAGAAGUCAAGAGAAUUUGGCAGAGAAACAAUCUGCAGUGUAAAUUUGUACUUUUCUGUCACCUUACCUGAACACACACACAAAAAAAAAUGCAAAGUUUUGGAUCAUGCAUGGUACAAAAUGUACGUUUAAUCCAGGAAUGCACAUGCUUUGCUGUACAUUUGAAGCAGGGAAUAAUGCACACACAGCGGUUGUCACUUUGCUUUCUGGCCCUGCUGGCAACCCUUUUGGCAUGAUACGAGCAUGUCCAUUUUGUAUCCUCCAAGAUACGAUCAUGCCGAUGCAUGCACGCAUAUAUGCACAGAUCGGUCGACCAGGAAAUAUACGUGUGUGCAGAUCGAUGGGCGUUGCUGAUGCUGCCAUCCAGAAGAAGUUAAUGAGAUUACGAUCAUUUUGAUUUGGUGAUGGCAAGAAAGAUUGCGUGCUUUUGUAUAAUUGAGACAUGAGCAUAGCAUUGUUUUUGAAUUUUAGGUAUCAUGUGCGCCUUUGAAUGAUAGAAAUAGUUAAUGAUGGAUUUAUGCAUGAAAAUAUGGCCAUCGCUUUCUUACAGAAACGAAAUCCGACAAGAGAGAAGGUGCAGAAGCCAAAUUAAAAUUCUUUUAUGUAUAAUUUUCGUUUAAUUAUCUUGAGCGAGCUAUCUGGCAAAUCUGAUUACCUUGUUGGUAUCACUCCCUCGGUUUAUAAAUAUCUGUAAAUGCAGUUUUUUUACAGAAAAAAUAAAUAUUUGUGUCUGUUCUUUGAGAUGAUUAUUAUGCAUUUUUCUGAGGACUGAAGAUAUGAAUAGUACAAAGUUCAUUUUAUCAUGUGUAUGCUGCAAGGAAAAAAAACUAUAUUAUGCCCCUGAUUUGGUGGCAAUGAUCGAAAUGAAAAGGCUAGCUAGCAGCUAAGCUAAUGAGCGGUGACUUUACAGCUUACGGGCAAAUUAAUUAAGAGCCUAACCAUCGAUGAGGGACAAAAAGUGACAUGCAUGCGUUACCAACAGUGACUUCUUUUAGAUAUGAUACUGAAUGGAGCACUCCUAUUAGCUAGCUGUCAGGAGCACUCAGAUGUUGCUAAGCCUGCUGAUAAUAUUGUCUGGGAUUGAAGGAGCAUAGUUAGAUAACCAAAAGAACUCCUGUUAGUUGGCUGGUUGGGCUCCAUUUUCCUAUACAAAAAAGUUCUCCCAAAUAUUCACCAGCCGUGCCGAUGUAUGUUCAUCGGCAGGGCUGGUUCUUCCAACUACCUCGGUGAGUGGUGAUCCGAUAACCGCUAACUUUUUUUAAUAAUACAAAUUAAAUAAUUAUUUUUGAAAAUAAUAAGUGUUUUUCAGAAUUUUCAAAAAUAAUACGUCCUCGGUAUGGGCGAUUAGCUUCAGUUGGCCUGACCGAAACCGAUUAGGACAACUAAUCGGCUUGGGCGAAGCUGAUUAGUUCCAGUUGGUUUGGGCGAAGCUGAUUAGUUCUAAUUGGUUUCGUCCAAGCCGAUUGGAACUAAUCAGAUCUGACUGCACUAAUCAGUUUCUCCUAAGUUACUUAGUUGCAUUAUCAAUGCAUGUUUAAAUAGACGUAGCUUGUGUUUCGUCCACAAACCUAGCAAUUCGACUGAAAUUAAGGCACAACUGAAAUUAAGAUAACAAAUUAACAUAAGCUGGUUACAGAACUGAGGCACGAUUGGACUGAAAAUAAAACAAAUUGUCCAAUCGUGUCUCAGUUCUGUAACCAGCUUCUUUAAUUUUCUCUCUGAAUUUCAGUCGAAUUGCUGGGUUUGUGGACGAAACACAAGUUAUGUCCAUUUAAACAUGCAUUGACCAUGCAACUAAGUAGCUUGGGAAAAUUGAUUAGUUCAGUCGGAGAUGAAUAGUUCCAAUCGGCUUGGGCGAAACCAACUGGAACUAAUCAGCUUCGGCCAGACCAGGCCCUAAUUGGCUUCGGCUAGGCCGAUUGGAGCUAUUUAAAAAAUGAUUAUUUAAUUCAUAUUAUUUUUUAAAAAAUAACCCCGAUAACCAGCAGGUUACAGGAUGAAGUAUGGAAGUGUGGUCAGAGUGGAUUAAUUAUACACAGAUAUGGUUUUCACGCAUAUAUUUGUAGACGCUCUAUUCCAGAUUAUUAGAAGUUUUAUUUUACCUUUGUCCUAUAAUCAGGAUUUUUAAAAAAGGUCGACCAAAUUAGUUACUUUUUUACGAAUAUUUAUACUCUCAAAGAAGUACAUACUAUUAUGAAAAUAUAUAUCAUGAUGAUUUAGUGGAAAUAAUAUGGUAUAUUUUCUUGUAAACUUGUCAAACUUUAAGAAGUUUCGAUUAGGACAAAACAUAAAACAUCAUAUAGUUUGAAGAUUCACGAGCUUAUUUUGGGUCUCAAUUCUAGUACUAUCUCCGAUCCAUAUUAAUUGUCGAAAUAUUACAUGUUUGAACACCUCGAGAGACCGAGCCGGCAGUUCUUGAGAAAUGACGAAGUCACCGUAGGCGUCUCGUUGUUAACUGGUACGUCACCUACCAAUGAAAAAAUAGCGCCGAUUAAAUCCUGAAAUAAAUCCAGGUAAAUAUGAACACCCAUGUCAAAUUUAGAUCUUGAACAUGAGUGGGCUAGUUCCAUCAAAGGAACCAUCCCAACUGAGCCAGUUCACUUCUGACUUGGAGCCUGAAGUAGCUGCAGAUGGGCUUUGCUUGAUCUACACUUAUCCCCUUUAAUUUUCUCGCGCUUUUUGUCAGGGGUCGUCGAGUUGCUCCAGCUAGCUAGCUAGGGCCGGUGAGCUCGGGAUCGAUCGUCGAUUAUCCCGGUGUACGUACUUAUUGCUUGCUUUUUUGCGGGAUGAAUCGGUUGCUUGACUUACGGCCGGCUACCGGAUAAUUGAUUCAGUAUAAUUACAAUUAACGUGCAGUGCAGGGUCAUCGUGGGGGAACACGUACGUGUUACUAACAUGAAAAUAAUAAGCUCACUCGUGGAGCAGGACGUUUUUUAGACAUGAAUACAUUCAUGUUUGAACAAAUUUGAAUCAUUUAGUAUGGGACGGAGGGAGUAGAACUUUAGAAGUACAGUUCCACGUGCACCUAGUAAGUACUGCGCUAAUUGUUUAUGUCGUUUUGGACCAAAGCCGAGAACAAGUUAGGAGUAAUAAACUGAACGAAGAAUGGACAUUCAGAUCUCUGGCGUGACAAUUUUUCUUUCAUCUUGUAACAACUCUGGCUUUGAAGCGUGGAAUAAUAUAUUCAUGUUCUGAGUCUUUCAUCCCGAUGAUUGCCUAAAGAAAACUGAAUGAGGAACGAUUCGUACACGUUCGCAGGUUACAACUAGUACCGGCGCCGGAUGGAUCGAGUCCGCCGACACGAGACUAGUAAAAGGAAGCCAUAGCUUAGCCGGUACGCGGUAGCGGCAGCAGAGUAGCCUGCUUUCGGCCUCUGCAUAUAUCACUGCAUGCGCCCGGUCGGUUCUAACACCUGUCCCUCGUCCCAUCAGGCAUCAGCAACCGAAGCGUAGCACGGAACGCACGGUCGGUCGUUUCCUUGACGUACCGCAUGCCUAGCUUGUUUCUGAAACCACACGUGUACUGGGCUACUGGUCGCAUCAAGCGCCGAAAUUAAUCGGUUAAACCCGUACCGUACGUACGUGUUCCUUCCGACUAAUGGAUGGAUGGAUGGAUGGAUUGAUUCGGGAGUGCAUGCGCCUUCUUCAUAUUUUUUUGCUGCUUUGCUUCUCUUCAACUGUUCCAGCGCCUAAUAAGCCGCCGUGCACCGUGGGCCGGCGACGGCCCCGAUUAGCACAAUACCGCAUUCUUUUUAAUUAAUUUUCUUCUUCCAUGUUUCAUAAUUCUUGUCUCAAAUCUAGAACGGAAGAAAGGAGCUGUUUCAUAAUUCUCGUCUUAAAUCUAGAACGGAAGAAGGAGCAGGUGAUUUUCUGCAUGCGGUACGAUUAUCUUGCAGCAGCUACAUGCUUGCUGUCCGUCGGAUUUCUAUUGUCUCUCGCGCGGGGAAGCGAACGGGAGCACGGAAGAUUCCCCUCUAGCUCGUUCGGUCCUGCGCACGUGCUGCAUGCGAGCUAACUGCCAUAUAAUUGCACUGUUUGUUGAGCACAAAGGUGGUUUGGUUCCUUUUCUGAUACCGGGACAAAUUCUCUUUUCAUUUUACCGGUACCAUGUAAACCAAUUUUCAUACUUUGUACGUAGACCCCAUCGAAAAAAAAAAUUAGACCCCCUCGAAGAAAUAUAUAUUUUGUACCUAGUCACCUGUCAAUCAGAUAGAGCCUUGAAAACUAGGAGUACAUCAGUAAGAGUUCAUGUGGAAUGCUACUCCGUAACAAACUAUGUAUGUUCAUCCUGCCAAGUGCCGACCGAUCUGCCACGCCGCCGGUGAUCAAGAGACAACAAAAGACUCACUCGAUCCUCCCGGGAGGCCGGGAUUUAGAUACGGAUGGCAGCACGGCACGUCUACGCGACUACGCCACUUAACUGAAUUCCGGAGCCCCUAAAAGAAAGAACUGAAUUCCGGAGGAGAAUUCAAUCAAAACGAGUACUGGCAUUCAUUCAGUGCUCGAGCCAUGGCGUCAGUAAACUCGAUCCUCCCUGUUUUCGUUUCGGUUGGUCCAACGGUUCUUCUUGCAUGCAUUCAAGGCGCGACCGCUGUCAGUUUGUUGGCCAGCCAGCCAGCCAGACACAGAGGCAGACAGGGGCACCUGCAUCACUGCACAAGUCUGCAGGUGCACGCUGAUCAGCUUAAAAUGCUUAAUUUGAGACAGAUGGCGUUGGAUCGACUGGAAAAAGCAAAAGCCCUUCGAUUCAGACUUCACGGCAGCUGAUUUUUUGGGAAGCACAGGUCAAGGCCCAAUUGGAAGAAUGGGCCGGGCCAGGGACUGACAGAUCGUCAGCAUCAGCGGUGUCAAACUCGUCUUCAUGGACAGACCAUUUCUCAACAUCUGACGUAGACGUAAGAUUUUUUUUCUCUCUCGCUGGACUACGAAUUUUGAUUCCGCUAAGAACAAUUUUGAUGUCUUCUUGAAAUAAUUUUGAUGACGAGAAGAGGAAGAAGAAGGCAAAAAAAACACAAAUCACUGUCGGUUUCAGGUCGUUGCGCUGUGCGGUAGACAAAUCAACGGUCGCGCAACGAGACAUGCCGACCAGAUUCACUGAACAGUACGCACGCCCAAGUGGCCGCCGGAAUCUUCGAGCAACUGCUUACUGUUACGGUUACAGUGUUACCUUGCCAAUUUUUGCAACUCAUGAAUUUUACAGACCAUUUCCGUGCGAAUAAAGGGGGAAAAUAAUCCAGGUUUUCGAAAUCGGACCAAUCAAUUCACAUCUAACAGGAAAUAUGUACAGGAGACAGAACUAGUAAUAACCAAUACAAUAUAAAGAAUCGAAUCUAGCUACUGUAUAUGAACAUAUCGUAGAACACUACUACACGUCUACACCUGAUGCAGUGAUCAUAAGCGGAAGGAUUCUAGAUUCUAGAAGUUUCUAGAGCACAUCAAAACCCAUCGUAGUAGCCGCCGAAUGAUAUGCUCGCCCUGGUGGACGAUGCACCUCCCAUGACUGAUGACAAUCUGGAGGCCUGCUCCACUACCUGCUGAAUUCUCUGCAGAUCAAACAAGAAACCAUCAGGAACCCAGGAAACCCUGCACAAUUUUUAAAAUGAUGGAUUAAUUCAAGAACAGAAUUUAAAAAGAAAGAGUUAUCAAACCUCGUCGUCAGCAUACAUCUGGAACUGGGUCUUCUGAUUCUGCAUCUUCUUCUUCUGGUGCUGCUGCUGCCUGCCUCCAAGCAGGAAGAUGCAGAAGGUGGCAGCAGCAACCCCAAACGAGCAGAGUGCCCCAACACCAUUCACCCUCAGAUUUCGAACACUGAAACCAACGCAUUCGAGGCCUGCCCUGUCUUUCAUGACGCCUUCUUCCACCUCAUCACGUAGAUCAGGCGCUGCUUCCACCAUCACCUCAUCCUCAUAAACUUCCUUACAACCGACUGUGCACUUGACAAUCGCUUCCUCCUCCUCUUCUGCGUCAGAGAUCAUCAGUAUCUCGAUCGCCUUCGGCGCGAACUCCCCUCCUGGCCUUGAUUCAGCCUGCGUGACACAGAUGUCCUUGAAUUCGACAACAGGGUCCUGCACAGAGGCGUCUUGCAAUGGUGGCACAGGUGGUUUCUUGGCCUCUUCUUCAUCUAGGAUGCAAUCAUAAGGAGCACGGUGAGAUGCGGGCGCGAAGUGGUUUAUGUUGAUCAUGACCAAAUCGGCGUCAAACAAGAGCCGAUCCUUACCACCAGCAGUGAACUCCUCCAUGAAGAAGGAGCUUCUGUGGUCGGGCAGGAACUCCCAGUCGUCAAGGCUAAUUGCAUCCAUGGAAGCGACUCUGGACAUGGCAAACUAGUGCUAGAACAGGCUUGGUGGAUCUGGUAGUUAUACAGUUGCUCACCUGCUGCAACUAUGGCAACAAUGGAAGAUUCUCUCCAAGAAUCGAUCCAAGUGAUGGUUUGGAAGGAUACUUUCUUUUUCUGUGGAGGGGAACAACAGCUGAAGGAGCUAGUGGGAACAACUUGUUGCACCAAGGUAGAAGGCAAAGCCAAUUUAAGGAGUUUGUGCGUGAGGGGACUUUGCCUUCCUGCUAAGUGACAAAGAUGAAAGUGUUCUUCGGGGCCUACCAGCGGGGACUUGUUUCUUCCUUCCUUCCUCCCUACUCAAUUCUUCCCGGUUGCAGUGCCUCUGCAAGCUAUUAGCAGAGUGAGAAUAUUAGUUCUUCCAGCCUUCCAGGCAAUAUACAAUUAGGAAGUAAUUAUGCAAGGAGAUGCAAAUAAUAGAGAACAGCUUUAGGAUAUAGUGUCGGUGCAGUCAAAUCCUCCGCUCCGACUAGUAAACUCCCUCCAUAAUUCUAAAGUACUCCCAUACUAACUCUAAAAUAAUCACAUGCGCCAGCACAACGUUACAUGGUAGUCUUUACUUGUAUAUGACAUAGCAAACUCUAAUCAAAUCUGUCUUGUCAAUUGCUGUCAAGGAUUAGAAUGCCAUCUCACCUGAUCUGAAAGGGCUUUCGAUGGACAUCCUUUUCAAUCAAGUUAUGAACCAUGUUUCCAGAAAAUCAUAUGCAAGUCAAAUUCAUGGAAAGAGUACUGCAUAGUAAGAGUAACAUAAUGGAGAGGGUCAAAGUUAUUACACAGUAGAUGAUAGACAAAGGAGCUGAUAAAGCGAAAUCAACAGGAACUACAGAAGGAUAGAGACAUACACCAGUUAAACACGGAAGCCAGAAAAGAAUGAGACACGUCUUUAGAAGCUUCUGCAGAGAUAUUAACUCUGGAAAGUUGAGAUGCGACAGGAGACAGCGAUGGAUGAAUUAUGUAGGAACUUGAGGAGAUUGAAUAGGAUCUUCAGAGAAAAACAGAAGUCACUAGAACAUGGGAGCCUAUCAGAUUCAGAGUCAAGAUUUACAAUUCGGAGCUUGAGUCAGCAGCCCAAGCUUCAAGCUGGCGCAGACAACAGUGGCGCACAGGCGUAGGGUAGCACAUUGACACUGUAAACCAACAACAGAAAGAAGUCCUAAGACAUAUACAAGAUGAGGUCCCAGAAAUUUACAUUAAUUCUGAGGUUUCCCACAUGCCUGAAUGAACAUACAUAGCAGGAUAGGAAAGCAGAGUCAAAUAAUUUUGGAUCGUAUGUGAGAAGCUAGACUAUCAAACAUUCCCCAAAAGUCUAGGCUUGCCGUGAUGAGGAUGGUUCACCCAGUGAGACAGAAGCAAAUGAGGAAGCCCAAGCUCGAGCAUUACUGGCCCCUUUUGUUAGAUCACUUGUCUUGCUGCUCAAUCUAAGCUUGCUCCAAAUCCUCUUAACAUCAAGCACAGUCAAUGCCCGUUCCAUAAGUUGGCUUGAUCCCCUACUGAUUCCUAGGUUCAGGUUCCGAACUCGCACAAUCAAGAAGACUCUCAUCUGGGAGAUGACAGUGGGAACGAAGCGUGCCACGACCUUCAUUAUGAGAAAAAGUACUGACAACAACACAAAGGGCUCAUCGUUUGCCAUUUUACGCAAUGUCCAGCCUCCAGGCAUGACUGACCCCAAACUCCGAGUGCUCUCUUGCUGAUCAAGAUCAAAAUACGCAACUGGAUUGAGGCCUGCACCAAGAAAAACUGUCCUUAACAAAAGUGAUUUGAUGUAAUAAAACAACCUAGAUAUUUAAUCAUCAAUAGCUGCAGUGUGCAGCAUAACCAUGUCUAAAAUCAAUUGGACAACGGAAUAAAUCCAUAAUAUCAAGACAUGUUAUUAUGAGCAAUUGAGCAUGCCCAAUUUCUGCAGAAUUAUCAAAUAUGAUGCUAGUUUACAUUCGGAGGCAUCAAUGACUAACACAUAUCAAGAGUAUCAACAGGCACAUGGUUUCGUUCAUAAAAUCACAGGUGAAGGUCGCAGCCCAUUCCCCACCAGGUAACCAUAUAGUCUACAAUGUAAACAAUCUUUCAACCAAUUAGAUGCAAAAUUAAUUCAAACUCCCAAUGAAAGAAACCCAAAGGUGCAUCUUAAUUCUGAGUUUUGCUCAAGUUAGAAAAUGGGACAUAUUCGGAAAAAGCUGACACCAUUCAAUAAACUAUUUAUGCAGGAAACAUGCAAUAAUAAUGAUUGUACCUGUAGUUUCUUUGUAGAAAUCAAUCAGAGAUUUGAGAUCUUUUGUACCCCUAUAACGAACCAUUGAAGUCUCAUUUACAAGAAGAACUGCUGGAAAUCCACGGACACCAUAUCUUGAAAAUAAACUACAGUAAGCAGAGAGGUAUAAUGAGCAGUAAUUCACUGGUAGGAAAAAUGUUACUAACAAAAUGGACAUGAUGCAUCAAUACAAGGGAUAGGCACACAAAGAAAGAGUCCAACAAUCACAUACCUGGGCAUCGCAGAAGAUUCUUCAACAGCAAAGUGAUGUAUCUGAGGGAACAUAGUGCUAAGAGCUUCAAAUAUUGGUCGAAAUUUGCUCGAGAAAGGACACCAUGCAGCAUAGAAGAGAAUUGAGUACGAAGCACCACUGCGCCGAAGGUUCAACUGUUUAUCGAGAGCCUCUCCUCUCACCUUCAAUAGGAGAAAAAAUAUUUUAGGUUUUUAACAGAUAUUCAAUAGCUACAGAACAAACUAGAAGUUUGUCAGAAUCACAACAUGCAUAUUAGCGGUCUAUAUGGUGCCAAGGGUUUUCACUUAUCAUUUCUAGACACUCAAAUGAAAGUAGAAGACAAGCUUAUCAUAUCCGCACUUUAUCCUCAUCAUGCUUCUGUCAAACCGAGAUGUGCAAACAACCUAGAUGCUUCAGAAAUUACACAUACGUAGUAAUUGUAUUCAUGUGUCUCACGCCUGCCUUCUGAAUCCUACUUAAGCCACAAAUUCGAUUCACAUCACGCUUGCCUUAACAUAUGGAUCCCACCGCUGGUGGCUGGGAACGGCAGCAUCAACGCAUCUCGAUGACUCUCCAACACGCCACCCAUGUUUUUGUCGGCCGUCCUUAAAUUCCCCUGGCAUAGUGCCGUUAAUCGGCCGAUUCUAUGUACCCACCAAAGCAUUGCUACACGCAUCUAUUCUAAUAUCUCUUUCAAAACACAUUCCCCGCCCUCCGUAUCAAAACCCCUCUCUGACAUCGCCCUGCUUCGAACCCCAAUCACAAGCCUCAUCAGCGACUCAAAAGCAACCCUGCCCGCUACUACUCGCGCGGGUUGACACGAAAAUAAUCCGCAGACGGAGAAGAUGCAGCGCUGAGUCUCCGGGCUAGCAGCAGAAGACGAGGUCGGGAUUGGAUUGGGUCAGCGUAGGCGGGGGAGGGAGGAUGGGGAGCAUUGGAGGAAGGCGGCUACCUCGAGAGGCGGGGAGGGCUCGAUCCUGGCGCGGGGGCAUCGCGAUCCGAGCGCGUCCAGGAACGGGGGUCCCAGGCGCGGGCACGUGGACCCAAGGCCACCCGCGCCGGGGGAGCCGGCAGCGCCGGCGCCGGCGGCGACGAGGAGGAAGGAGACCACGGCAGCGACGGUGACGGCGACGGCGGCGCGGCGCAUCGUUGGAUUCGCAGCUCGGAAUUCCUCUUCCUCCCCCUCCUUUGCUGGGGAAUUCCUCUCUUUUUCUUUUGAAAACUGGGGAAAUUUCUUUCUCGGUGCGCUCGGUGGGAGGGAAGGAGGGAGACUGGUAGAUGAGAUUUGCCCGAUGCCUCGAGAUUAUUUUUGGGCGUGGGUGACGUGGGAAGUGGCCAUUGGUUGUGACUCCCGUACGUGUGCUGUCCCCCGGCUGGCCGGCUGGUUGGUAGGCAUCGUCACGUGUGACGACCUGGGGCGCGCGGGGCCCGCCUGUCAGCGGCUCUGUUCCCCGAUGCUCGGAUGGACGGAUACGGGACCACCCCCGGUGCUGGUUUCGAAGCAGAUUUUCUUAUUUUGUGUAAAUCCAUAAAGGAUUAUUAUUCCCAACGACCCAACAUGUUCUUACAAACAAAAAUCCUCGCAUUUUGUCGAUCUUUUCGCGGGUCACACAAUGGGAGGCAGGCUGGUGAAAAUUUACAUCCACAGUUCAUUCUUAUCAUUUUAUCGACGGGAUGGUGAAAUGUACUACUUGAUUUGUCCCAUAUUAACUGAUUCAAAAUUUGUCCAAAUACGAAUAUAUUUAUGUUUAAAAAACAUUUAAAUACAUGUAAUACAAAGUCACUUAAUAUGUGACGGAGGAAGUACAAUCUUUGACACAUAUUACUUGUCGCAGAUUUAGUUGAGUAGUUGUAAGUUUUACGCUGGGGCCUAUCCGUUGGGCACGUUCAUUUGUGUCUGUGGUCGACGCCUCGAAUUUUUUCCACGAGACCGUGUGCAGCGGUGCAAGACAUUGGAAAGUUUUUUUUUUCUUUUUGUAGUGCGUUUUUUUAGUAAAAGGCAUUGGAUCAAAUUCAGCCCACUCCUCAUGCCUGACCCAUGUUGCCAUUUCCCGGCCCAUCUUUAGGUCUCCACCGGCCAGGCCGGCGAUCUAUUCCAUUCAACCUCGCCGCGCCGCGCAGUCAGUGGUAAAGAACGGCGAACCCCGUCUCCGCGAUGCAGAUCCUCCGGCGGAAAUUUCUCGAAGCUUCCGGCGGCCUCUCCCUGCACCUCCUCCGCUCUCCACCUCCCGCUCGCCACCUCCACCGCCACGCCCAUGCCGUCUCCACCUUCUCCGCCGCCCGGGGGGCCGCGCCCGCCGGCUCCAUCAGCGCCACCCCGUGGGCCGCCACCCAGCGCCGCGGCGCGAAAAUGCUCGGCUCCGACGUAAUACCCUUUUCCCUCUCUCGCUCUCUCAUCUGUUCGCUUGGCUCGUGUCCUGCCCGCCCGCCCAGGGUUUAGCUGGGGUUCUGCUAAGCUAGCGCAGACCACUGUCUUCUGGCUACUGCUGAUUCGUUCAAUUGGGAACGAAUUUUUGGGCGAAUUGCUUCGCAAGCGGAGUGGUUCAUUCCUUUUUUUUUUGUUCAGUUGCUUUUCAUAGGUGACUUAACGGUGGAAUAAAUGUCAUGAAAUGCUUCUACUGUAUCAAAAAAAGUAUUACUCCCUUUGACCCAUGCUACUUGUCGAAAUAUUGCACGUAUCUAGAUGCUUUUUAAACAUAGAUACAUCCAUGUUUGGGCAAAUUUGAGACAAGUAAUAUGGGUCGGAGGGGGUACUAGUUUUCUUUUUGAUUUGGAAUGCUCAAUUUGUAUGUUCUAGUGAGGAAGGCUUCCUCAUGAACGGUGUAAAGCAAACUCAUUAGAUUGCUGUGUCGAUUCACCAUGCCAGCCUACGGUUGUAGUUCCUCUGGCGCAGCACACGGGCGCCAGGAGCCUAUCCUAUAAUAGAUUUAGCUGAGUAUUUGGUUGAUCAGCUUGACAUAGAUGCAAGAUUUAGAAGAGGUAUUACGUGUCUUGUCAUUGAAGUUGCAUUCAACAAUUAGAUUUAGCAUGAAGGUCUCCAGCCUUCCUGUGGUCCUAAAAUUACCGCAAAAGGAAUUUUAGUUGUGUAGCUUUUAUGAUACGCUGAUUAUAUCCUUAACCUGAUUUUGAUAAUGUUUUUUUUUAUGUUCUGUUCUUUACUAAUCUUUGCAGAAGCACAUAACGAUUCUUGCACUAACUUGGGACUGUCUUCGUAUAUUCUAGGUGAAACUUGGAAAUGUAAUACAGAGAAAAGGUGUGUGCUUACAUAUGUUUCAUUUCAUUUCUGCUUCCAAGUAUCAUGGAUUGUUACUUAUCCAGCCUUCUGGUCAACCUUAAAAUCAAGGUCACAUUUAUCAGGUAUGUUUAACUGUCUUUUUUGUCCUGCUCCCGUUGAUACUUCCUGUUCCGCAUGAACUUUAUGGUUAAUAUUCAUCUAUCUUUGUGCCAAGGACAAACAUUAUGUCCUUUCUUGACUUACUCGUGUUUUGUUCAGGUGAUAAAAGCACAACAUUCACAUCAAGGAAGAGGAGGAGCCACAAUACAGGUAUUUUUGUUUCAUUAUUUCAAUCUGCCCCAGUACUUAAAGGUUAAAGCUGCAGACCACUACGAUGAUGGCAAUCUAAUGUAAAGCUCGCCAAAUUUUUUCUUCCAUGUAUUGCCUCAUAUAUAAAUUAGUGUUACCUUAGCGUCAUUAGAGUGCCUAUUUUUGCAACAGCAACAUAAUUUACAUGGUACAGGACAUGGAAAAAGAGAACUUAGCAACAAAAUGUCUAUGGGAAUAACAAGGACAGUGAGAUAAAUAACUUGGCACCUAGAACUACAUUAUACAUGUAGACACUGGCAUUGGGUUGACUCUUAUAAUUCACUGUUACCCCAUUGGCAUGUCUGCAAUGUCAUGAGAACAUCGGGUCGAAAGAAGAAAAAGUUCAUGGCACCGUUUUUUGUUAACUUUCAUAGUAUGUGCUUGACUUAACUGGGAGCUUAAGUUCGUUUUUGUGUGUGAAUUUUGUUCUCAAUUCUUGAGUGCUGCAGGUUGAACUGAGGGAUGUUGACACUGGAAACAAAAUAGUAGAAAGAUUUCGUACUGAUGAGGCUCUCGAGAGUACGGACAUUUCCUUCACCUCUUAUAAAAAAGACAUGUUGCGUUCUGAUUUUUCUUGUGCAGCUAUGUAUAACCUGACCUCAUUAAGAUUUUCUAUUGUGCAAUUCUUCAUGGGCAGCUCUUUAUUUUUCCUGUUUAUAAAUCUAAGCAAUACUUUCUUCUAUUGUUUUCAUUACAUUCAAUCAUCAAUCAUUCAUGUGUCACUCACAAGCUAUCAAACAUCAUCAAACGAACUACAUUAAUAUGUUGAGCUGGUGAUCAUCUAAAAUCAACUAAUCCAUGCAUUAGCCAACACCGAACAUACCAAUCCCAACCGUCCAGUGGGCAGUUGCAGUUCCAUAAAGCGCAUCCAUGAUAGCUGUAGUUUGGAUUGGUUGUUCAGAUUUAAAUUUUGCAGUCGUGUUACUAAUGGCAGGCUAAUCAUAAGUUCAUAACAUACUUUUAUUUAACUCAUUCAGGAGUUUUUGUUGAGGAGAAGUCUUUCACAUAUCUGUAUCAGGAAGGAGACAACGUGGCACUUAUGGAGUAUGUCUGUUUCCCUGUUUUCUUGUCACUCUAUCAUUAACAUUCUGUGAUGUGGCCAUGCCCAUAUCUAUUUAUAUCCAUUGAGCGCUGUGUUCAUUUGGAAUCUAUUUUUGCCAGGCCUAACACAUUUGAGCAAAUAGAGGUUUCGAAGGAUCUGUUUGGCAAAGCCGCUGCAUAUCUGAAAGGUCCAACCAAUAUUAAUCGACAACCAGAAGAAACGUCAAUUGUUAUCAAUACUAUAUUCUAAAAAUAUGCUUAUGUUUUAUCUCAUGAACAGCUAGAUACUUGGUUUACUUUUGUGCCUCUAGCCCUCAUAACAUCACAACUGCCUGAAAUUUUAAUUCUGAUUAAUAUAAAAUUGGGUGGAACACUUAAGUUUUUGCCUUACGAAUGAAAGUGAUAUGUACAGGAGUCUUUUACUAGUGGCCUUUAUUAUAUCCAGUAUAUGUGAUUAUGUGCAUUCUUCAUAGUUCGUAACCAUAACAAAUACAUCAGCUCCUUGGAGGCUUGCUGGCUUUCUAAUUGACAAUGUUCAUGACUCAAUGUUGAUAUCUUUUGCUCAUUUUUGGAAUUGUGGUUUUAAAUGCUUUUAUUUGUAUCAUCGUGUCCCACUGAUUUUCUCACUUAUAACAGAUGAGAUGAGGGUGACUCUACAAUACUAUGAUGGCCGGGCAGUGUCUGGUUCAGUGCCUCCCCGUGUGACUUGCACCGUCGUUGAAGCACAGCCUAAUACUAAAGGGCUAACUGCUCAACCUCAGUGAGUUUAUACCAUUAUUUCAUCAUUACAUUAUUCUUAUUCCUGUAAUAUUCUGUUCAUAGUUUCUGGCUUUCUGCCUCAAAAUAAGCAUUCUUGUCAAAUGUUUAGAAAUAAAGUCUGGCAACAGUAUAUUCCAUGCUAUUGGUGAUCGGGGUGAGUGCUUAUAGUAGUAUAACCAUAAUGAGAAUUUUUAGUUGGGGGGUGAUCAGUCCAAAUGUUAAUUUGUCUUUGCAGAGAAGAAAGUUGAAAUUACUCUUAUGCCUUAUGGUCAGUAGUUACAAGCAGUGAAAGCAUGGUAGUUGGCCAACUUCCGUAGUUGCCCAAAACAUGACCGUCCUGUGCCUUAAACUUUCACCUACAUCUUGUAUUUUGUGCUAGGUCACACUUAAUCACUCACAAGCUUCCAUGGACCCAUGUCAGCGACUAUUUUUGGCCUCAAAAUUCCAUUAAACUGUUAGUAAUUCUCAUGAACAAUCUGUUAAUUAAUAAUAUUGUGUAGAGUUCAUGCAUAAAACUAUGUUGGCAAGCUAGUAGAAUGUAAACCACAAGAUUCAGUAUGAAGAUCAAUUUAGUAAAAGUACAUCGUGUAAUGCUGAGUUGCUGACCAAGUGACCAGGACUUUUGAGAACUGAGGCUGGUUUAUCAUUCUACUUGCACUUUGCAGUAAGACCAUUCUCUGAUGCUUGUGGCCUGCAAUAGUAUGGAGUUGUAAUGUUGUAUAUAUGCACAAGCGCUGAGCAGAUUUUACUUUAAUCAGCUUCACAAUCUUUUAUCAUCAAAUAUUUGAGGUCCAUUGGUAUGCGCUAACUAAGCUCAUGUUUGUACUAAAUGCAGAUAUAAAAGGGUCUUGCUGGAUAAUGGUCUUACUGUGCUUGUAAGUUGAUGGGUGCCAUCUCGUAGAGUUUAUUCACCUAGUCUUUUAAUGAAUGAUUGAACUGCAUCUGAUAUUUUAUAUUAACAAAUGUAUCCACAAGAAAGGAUAUAAGCUCUAACUGAUCUUAGUUGACACUGAAAUGAUUCAAAAAGCUGAGAACUGCUACUUAAAAUGUUUUUGGUUUGCCAUUGAUGUCUUUGUUGCUGUAGAUUAAUUGGUCAGCAGUAGAUCAUUUCUGUACACGACUGAUUUGGACUUACUGAAUCGGCACUGUUUCAUUCUACAUAAGAUUUUUGAAAGUACAGAUACAUCCCUUUUAUAUUAGUUUCUCAUGAUCCACCCCAUCUUUUUUGCCUCUUUAUUUAGUGAUUAAAUUUCAGCAUUCUGCCUCAUUUCUCUCUAAUUCUGUUGUUUAAAUCAACAGAACCCCUAGUUUCUACCAUCAAAUAAGUUCCUUAUACUUUUAAGGAUCUCUUACCUCCAUUACCUUUUUGCCAAUUGUAGGCACCUCCUUUCAUCGAAGCAGGUGAGAGCAUUGUUAUUACUACCGUGGAUGAUUCAUAUGUGACGAGGUAAGUUAUGAGAAAUCUCAUUUAAUUGUAUCCUCUGAUGUUCUUUAGAUGAAUGCUGCGGCAUACGAUGCCCAUCUGUAUUUUUUUUUAUUCUUAGUGAAUUCACUGAAUCAAUUUUGCAUUUCAGGGCCUAGUGACAGUAUCAUGUAGAUGACGCUUUGUGCCCUGCAAAUUGGGAUUCGACUUGCACUAUCUUAGAUAAGUUUUCUUUGCCAUUGCCCAUUGGCAUUCUGAAUCUGCCCCGGGCGAAAAGGGCACCCGCUUUAUACCAAGAAUGCAGUGUUCAGCAACACAUUUUGUUUUCACAGGUAAUUUUAGCUGGCUUCUCGUUUUUAGUGUUAUCAUAACACAAUUUCACUGUGGUAAGUCAUGAAAAAAUCGAUAUAGAACCUAUAUUGUGCUACGCAGGCACAGAGUGAAAUGUAUUUGCCUUUGUACGCCUCACUGUCUUGUGAAAAUAUACUGGGAUUUGCCCAAUCAUUUCCAUGCAGAUAUGCAGAUGAAAAUCAAUUACUUAUAUUAUUGUUCCGUACAUCGUUUCCCUGUCAGAACAUUCUCAAUUCACCUGCUAAUAGACGCAGUACUUGGGGCGAAAUUCUUGAUUUUGCUCAGUGUGCAGUCUGCAGUUUGCUACUGGAAUUGAAAAUCGGUAGCCAAUGUUUGAAACAAUAAGCUAAUUGCCUUUAUAUACAGCUAUUAUCGGUAUCAAAUGCUCUGUACGGCUGUGUUUCAUGUACAUCUCUAAGCUGCAGGAGUCAAAAACUACAAAAUCCUAGCAACAAAAAACACAGGAUUCAUAUAUUUCACUUGUAAGCAUGGACGUAAUCCUGGAAAUAGAAAUUCUUCUGGAUGAAGCUUGCGAGCCAGCGAGACGCGGCGAAGCACAGCACGGCCGCGGACACGACGGCGACUCUCUGGGCCACCGACUUGACCAGCGUCUCCUUGGCAACGGUGAGGAACCCGACGAUGGCCACCGCCGCCACUUGCAGGGCGACCUCCAGCGCCUUCAUGGCCUUCAGCGCCGCGCUGCAGCUCGUGCACUGCUCGACGUGCGACCAGUAUCUGUAACGGACGCCGUGACAGAAUUUGAUCAGAUCGUGUCACUGAAUUCUUUCUCAGGUGUUCCAAUCUCAGGUUGCCUGGAGAAGAACUUCAAAUGGUGGCUUGCUAUUCUGUUUACCUUUCCAUGAGCUUGUCUUUGGUUGGAGUCGCCGGCAGCUGAUCGACUGUCGGGGCAGCCCAGCCGACCUGGCUCUUGCAGUGCUUUCUGAACCAGUUCCUGAAGGCGAUCACCAUGCUGUCCGAUGACGUUGGCACAUACACGGCCUUCUGCCAGUUCUCAACGCCAGCAGCGGCGAAGUUGCGCUCCUGAGACCAAGAAAGAACAAUGGCUUCACUCCAUAGCUUGGAUCACCUGAACUUAGCUGAAAAAUGUUUACCUCGACGUGGAGGAGGUAGAUGUCCGAGUCCAAGAUGGCGUUCUGGCCGAUAUGAUAGUACCACCGUGGUAUGAUCUUGUCGAGCCAGAGGCCGACGUUCCUCGGGAACGCCCAGAUUACCCUGCUCCUCCCUGGAGCCACCGGAACACACAUGAACACCAGCAUGAUCCGAGGCUUCUUCUUCUGCACCAUGCGACAUAACUUUUUUAACUAAUUCCGUGGAUUCCUACCGUUUCAGUUUCGCUCCCAUUCUCGCAAUGUGACAUGGGGAGAACUGCUUGAUCUUGUCAUACCUCUCCCUCUUCUUGUCUGGGCAACGGCGAGCCAUAGAAUGUGCACGGCGCGACGUACCGGAAGUAGCCACCGUUCUCCUGCGGUGAAAGGAACCCGUCCACGCCGGCCUCCUCGAUCUUCAUCUUCAUCGGCCCGCCGCCUUCUCGGUCAAACUCAACUGUGAAGAAGAAACGAACAUCCGUCAGUAAACUGAACGUGACAAUGCAACGGGUGCUCUCGGCUCAUGUCAGGCAGGGGGCAUAUCUUCCAGGGUCUUCCUUCUUGCGAAGCCGGCCCAUCAACCCUUUGUGCGCGUAUGGGACAUGCGCAGGGUCCAUGAGGUUCUCAACCAGCACAUCGUACCUGCAAUGCAAACCAAUGAGCUGCUUGCAAAUGCAAUGCUGCUAAGAACAAUCGAUGGAUCGAAGUAUAUAUCGAACAGGCAUUGAGAUUCAGAAGAUGACGAUGAGAGUGAGACAUGCUUAGAAGGCGUUUUUACCCGUAGGAGAGGUCCCUGAUGCCAUAGACGGUGACGAAGGAGGGGUCGUCGAUCUCCGGGAUGAACGGCGGGCGCUUCCUUUGCAGCACAUCCUCGUGUUCGGCGCCGGCCCUCGGGUAGAACCACAGGAUGUUGUUCUGCACCACGCUCGGGUACGCCGCCACGCACGCCUUGCUGUUCUUGUGCACCUGAGAGGAGAGGAAGAUCUCCGAUUGGUCUCCGUGUAAUUUGAGAAUUCACGCAUUUGCUCACGGAGGAAGAAGAGGAUUUGUGGGCGUACGGGUGGGCCGAGGGCGGGGGCCUGGGGGAUGAACUGGCAGGAGCCGCGGCCGUCGAAGCACCAGCCGUGGUACACGCACUGGAGCCGGCCCUUGUCGUCGAUCCGGCCCUCCGACAGCGGCGCCAGCCGGUGCGGGCACGCGUCGUCAAACACCCGCCACUCGCCGUCGCCGGCCGUGCGGUCGUACCAGGCGACGACGCGGAGGCCCAGGAUCGUCUUGCCGUGGGGCGCGCGCGGGUCGAGGUCGCACACGGGGGCCACCGGGUACCACUGGUCCAGCCAAUCGAACCGCCCCUCCUCCCCCUCCGCUCCCCCUGACCACGGGUUUUCCCCCGUCCGCGGCGCCUCCGCCGCUACGGCUGAAGCCGGCGACAACAGCCGCGCAGGAGCGGCUGCUGCUGCUGCUCGGGCGAACGCCGCCGGGGCGGUGGGCGGGCGGAGAAGGAGAGGGAUGCGAGGGCGCGCGCGGGGGGGGAGGAGCAGGAGGGAUAGGGGAUCCAUGGCGCCUGCUCGCUCGAUCGAGAUCCUGGCGGCGGCUGACGGACGCUACGGGACGGCGAGAGGGCUGGAGGAGGAAGAAGAAAGCUGUGGCUGUGGGGAGUGGCGGGAGAGCAUGCGCGGCUUGCGGCUGCGGUUUCGCCGGCACGACUUAUCACCACGUCGCUCAACUUACUCGUCUUCUAUACAGCUUUGAAUUUUUAAUAUAUAUAUAUAUAUAUAAUAUUUUAAGCAAAAUCCAGUGCUUUUGUAGAAAAAUAGGCUCCUUAAGUACUCCCAACGUGCCAGAUUGUACAAUUUGUCCAUGCAUUUGCUCCGUUGCUUUCAGCCUACGAUCAUACAUCCAUGGCCACUAAGUUGACUCCUGAUGUUCAGUUUACAUCCGAAGCAACUUUUUAGCCUUUAUCCAUUUUUGGUUCUUCAGCAACCAAGGAAGCUCCAUUUUCAGGGGUACAUCCAAGACCCAACCAGCACUAGGCUUUCUCAGUUCUCCUGAAAACAUUUCACAAUUUUUAUCGAAUGCAAUAGACAAAUUGAGACCACUAACUAGGACUGUCAGAAGAUGAUGGGUGUUGCAUAAGACCCGGUUCGCUAGGGCAGAUACAAUAGUCUAAACAGAUGAAAGAAAAUCUUUCGCAACAGAAUGUCGCCUGCCCCAUGGUUACUUUUUUACUACAAUAUCAAACAAGUAUGUGGCAAGGUAGACAUCUUCAAUCUUUCGAUGUUAUGACCAGCAGGCCCAGCGCGCCGAUCAGAAGGUACUGCAGGAAGAAGCAUCAUAUAUCAACAUGUCAGCAAUGCACCCAACACCCAGGAAUACCAAGCUACGAACAGCACUAUGUUUCUUUUCUUUUUUUUCAAUUUUUGAUCUCCCAUAAACCAAAAGGUGGAUGAGCGAGGAGUUUAACGAAAUCUGACGGAAAAGUUGCUCCACAUGGACACUCAUUGUUUAACCUCCAGGGCGUCUGUAAUUUGACAAGAAUAAACAUACCUUGAUCAUUGGCUGCUCAGUCAUCACAAUUGUAACCCACCCAACAUAUGGAAGAUAGCUGUUCACAGAAGAAAAGGGUAAUGUCAGCUGAACAAUUUUCACCGGAAUGAAGGCAGAUAAGUGAUGCAAUUGUCAUGGAUACUUACCCUACAGCCCGCCCCAUAAUGUGAUGACGCUGAAGCCAAAGCUGACCCUGUGCAUACAGCAGCCGGUCAUCCCCAAAAUUAUUGUCACCUGAAAGGCAAUUGAUCAGUUGAUAGAACCGUGUAGUAACAUCUACUGUAAAUCAUAAAUUGUUGGCUAUUGAUUAUUAUUGCAGGAUUGCACAAACUGCUUUACCAGUCAGCAGUAUAAUCACUGAAGAAAAUUUACGGCGUUUAAAAAGAAAACGAUGGAUACCUUUCGUGAGGAUUUCAACUUCUGCACUUUCCUGGCGUUCAUGGACCUGCACAGAAAGUAAAGAAAAGCUAAACCAAGCAAGAAAAAACCCUUCAAAUCUUAACAUAUGGCUCAUGGCAUGACUUCAAAAAAACUAUUACCUUAAUCACACGGUGAACUAUUGGAAUUUCACGACCCUACAUACAUAACAAGCAUAUGUAAAUUUAGUGUUGUGGGGAUCAUGCAGCAGCACAUGGCAAAUUUGAAUAUAGGGCCAACAACUGAUGAAUUCAUGAUUCAGCUACUGAUUUAUGGCUUACAAAGCAGUAGGAAUUACAUCAAUAUUGAAAACAACUAUUUCUCCAGUACGGAUGGGAUCUUUGCUCAUGCGCAAAAAUAGGAUAUCACCCUGCAAAGCAUAUAAUGAAUCAUUCAGAAAUAGCAAUGUAAAAUAUAUGAUGGCAUGUUACAGGACGCAAAACUGAACUCUGAAUUGAAACUAAAAACUGAAGACUGGAGUAGAUGAUAUGCACCAAUACUGAUUGACAGAACCGGGAACUUCAAGGAAAAUUUUGGGACGAAUGGGGCCAGCAUCUUAAUCGUAGAAAACAGGCCAAUAAGGCAAUUUUUCUGCCAUUUUUAAAAUUAGUAGAAUUUCUAGGAAACCAAAUAUUUCUUCUAGGAAAUAUACAUAAAUGCUCGUCUCAGUGCAUUGCACAUGCAGCUUCUGAAAUACAGAUUGACCACAGCCAAUUAAGUGCAUAUUUCCAUACAAGCAGUCAACAGAACACUUAUGUCCACCUCAAAUACCUAAUCAUAACAAAAGCACACAUCUAAGCCUAUUCUUGCAUUGUGUAACUUACCCUUUUAAAUCCAGGCUCCAUGCUACCAGAAAGAACCAC